CGCCACCGUCCACUCGGUGUUUCUCAGCAUUGUUGUCAAUUCCACCCGCGAAAAGUGCACUUCUAGCUGAUAGUAUUAUUAGCCUGCCUUGUCAGUUGAUGUUGUGCUUGAAAACGCUCACAUAAGGACGCCUUCACGGCUUUAGGAAACACCUCUGAGACUCCUCACCAAGUGUAAGGUAAGAACUAGCUGCUUUUGCAAACACCAUGCUGGCUCCCUCUGAUCGCUUGUUUUGUAAUAUCUCUCUGUUACCACUGAAUGGUUUCAUGUCAUUCUACAUAUUGGCUGGGCUGGGUUUUCCUUUUGUUGGAUUAUGAUGCUGUAAUGCUUUUACUUGGCAUGGUGGUAAAAUGGUGGCUGUUUCAAUAUGGGAGUGAUGUGGGAUGAAUUUGUUUUCUUGCAGAAUAUUUCCCCCCAGGUUGCUUGUGUUGUUUUUGUGGAGUUGCCAGUUGGCUCACAGCAAAUUGGGUCUCAAGUAGGAGGAUGUUGCUGUAUUGUAUUUUUGCUUGACAAAGUACCUUUUAUUGCACAGUAGAAUUCUGUGAAAUGUCAACAGAAUUACUGUCUGGCAUAAGACCCAUCCAGGUAUAGAAACUCUGUUAUCUUGGCUAUAAGAGAAGCCUUACAUUAUAGCAUUAUGUUGUGUUUACAUCUUUUUGGUCCUAACACUAGAUGAAUAUUGAGUUUGUGACACAUAACUCUACGAUUUUUUAAAUUUUGGUUUAAUGUGUGCAGUAGUACUAAGGUUGUCAUUCAUGAUUUACUAAAAUGUGCUUCUUUAUGUCAGCCAUGUGUAUAACUGCUGCCAUAUUUUGGGGUAAAUUUGGCUGUAUCUUACUAUAAUCCAGGAGUUCAUCAUCCUUAUACACUGUGUGUACAAGCUAUUGCUGCUAUAACACCCCAGCAUUGCUGUUGCUUCUCGUUCAGCAUGUAUAAACCCGACUUCCACCCAGGUACCCACCUGAAGGCUCUGAUAUCCCCAUGGACAAGUUUAUCAUUGUCACUUGGCAGUGCUGAGGUUGGUGUUUGCUUGCAGGUAGUGAUGAGGUCAGUCUCCAGACACAAAAUACAAUCUGUACUACUCUAUAUCUGCCCAGUAAGACAGCCAGUCACCCAGUAAAGGGCUUGGUUGAAUUACCUUGUCCUCAGUGCCUCAGUGCUGGUGGAUGGCUUUAAACCUGUUGUGUGGAGCACUGUUUCCUGUCAAAAUAACGCCACCCUUACCAAAUCAGUCUGAGCCUUGAGAUAGAGAGCACAACACACACACACACACACACACACACACACACACACACACACACACACACACACACACACAGGUGGAAACACACUGCAGUACAACACCCCAAUAAGAUUAUUUUCAACCAUUUUUCAGGUCUCUUUCACAGCAAGUUAUUUGUACCCAUCUCAUGUUCUCGCCUUUUGUUUUCAAGUUGCUUUGUUUUGUAUGCUUCACAUGCACUUUGAUGCAAAAGAAAUUGCCUUUUCUGGAUAAAAUGAAAGUGCACUUGGUUAGAGUGAAUGAAUAAAUGAUUAAGCUUCAAGUACAGCCCAGUUGUCAUCUCUGCCAUUUAGGGAUUUGCAACAGUACCAGUUGAAUGAGUGUUUCUUUUCAUUUCUUUGCAGCAUACUGGUAUUGAAGUAUUUUGUUUUUUGAAAUAUGGAGCUUUCUGUACUGUGUUGCUCCCUUCAAAAUUGGCAAAUUUUAAAAAUGCAGUUUGAACCAUGUCUGAGACUGUGGUGUUGUAGGUGAAGGUUUUUGAAGCAUGAUGUUUAUUCGAAUCCAUCUUUGCAAAAGUAUGAAAAGAGAUGGUUAUAAAAGCGUGAAACUGAUAGGCUAAAGCUGUUGAUUUUGAUGAGUGAGUUCUUCAAUUCAGUGUGAAAAGCACUGCUGCUGGUGUGCUGCUUCAACUGACUUUUUUGUCAUUGUCAACAAGGAAAAGUGAUGCCAGAGAAACUGCUCGAAAUGACACUGUAGAGGUAAAAUUCUGUCUCUGUACUGCUCCAUCCCUAAUUAUUAAAUUAAACAUAAUGCAGACCAGCUCUUCUUCGUCCUGCAGUCCUAUUAUAUCCUUAUCUGGUACUUGUGGUUGGUAUUGGAUUUCUGUGUUGUACAUUUGCAUUCCGACUGCAGUUUUUGUUGAAAAACACUUGUUGAAAGGAGCGUGGACUGUGAAGGACAGCAAACAACUCCUUUUGUACUUCCUGGAUUUUAGAUUAAGCUAACCAUUGUGCUAAAAAUCAAUUUCAUAUGUUCAAGGCCAAGCCUUUCUGAUUGAAUCCAUUUUCCGUUAAAAUAAAUGGUUUCAUCCACUGUUUAAUCAAGGGCAGCUGCAAAUCUGAUGAAACGUUCUGCUUUUGACAUUCAGGGAGGACAACUAGACAUAUCUUCUCUCUAUGUGUCAGUGAAAUAAAAGACAAAAUCCUGCUUGAGAGCUAAAGUGCGCACAGGUCAGGACUAUGGAUCCAUUCCAAAUGAGCUUCCACCUUAAUUAUGGGUUUCCUUUUAGAUAAAAAUGAUACAACUUAAUUUGUAAUGCACAAAAUACAUAUCAGUGAAAGCAAAAGUUAGUAGAAGCACAUGAUAAGACAAACGAGCGUUAUAUUUUCCACAGCAAGGACUCGCUGUUAUUGAGAUUUCUUUGACAGUUUCUGUAGAUAAAAAAGGAGCAAAUUUUCAUUUAAAUAACUCAGCUUUGACAUACAAAACAAGGUCAACAGAGAAGAAACGAGUGUUGCUUUGUUCACAAGGGUUGCCAUGAUUGCCCGAAAUGAAAGUUCCUCACAUUAACUUGCAAUAACAGAAAAGCUGGAUUUUGGACCAAGUAAUGGUAGAGUAGAAGAAGGAAGAAAUUUCGUUUCUUCACUUGUCCACUUAACUACCAGUCAGAGCAACGGAAUUUAAGACCUACAGCAGUAGGCUGCUAAGCUGUCUGUGUACUUAAAACAUCCAGAUCAGAGGGACUUAUUUUAACUGGGGAUAGACGGAUAUGGGGCUGAUAUUAACUAUUAACUCCUGUUAAUGAUGUUACAUAUUCUAGUUUUUAAUGAACAUUUGCAUUUAGGAAAAGUUUGAGUUUGUAAUAUUUCAGUUUCUAAGUUUUGACUGAACUUUUUGAAUUCUUGCUGUCAUUUAUCAUCAGUUCCCAAUAUCAGUUAUGGUUUCAUGAGCUACAAAUAAUUAGUAGAGUAUUGGCCUUAAAAAACUAUAUUGGUCAACCACUAACUUUAACUUGAUACACUGAUAUUUGCCAUGACAUGACUGAAUAACCAGACUUACCAUUUUGUUCAGUUUGUUUGACUGGGAUUCAGUCAAACAAACUGAUCAGUGUUUCUCAUUACUAGCAGCCAUUUUUGUGGAAAUGUUUAAAGGGUGCUUAAACAUGCCUCAUUUUAUAAGCACUUGUACUCGCCAAGUUACUCUCAUGCGUAUGUGAAACAUCACAAAGCUUAUUUUACACCCCUUGUUUAAACAGUCCAUAGGAAACAAUAUCCAGCCUAAAACUAGACCAGUGCUUUAAAAAAAUCCUCUUGACUGCUUGUGUCUUGUAAAAGGUAAUUGAUUUCUCUCUGCGGGUGUUAAAAAGUAAUUUCCCUCAGCUUAACAUUAUUAAGAGGUAUGAAUCAAUGAGGUUCAGUAAAGUAUAACUUUGUAAUUAUCACUUUGUUAGCUAAUAAAAGCCUGACUUUACAACUGAGACUGAAUGAAAAACACGAAAACAGAAAAUCAAAGUCUUGGUUUCCUCAUAACAAAGAGAGAAAAUAGUCUGAAAUAGGAAAUGUCUGUCUUUGUCUGGAAUUCCCAAUGAGCUCACCAGGUAGUGAAACUGUCUUUCUACUGACAGAAACAUUCAGAUCUCUGUUGUGUUUGACAUUCUUCCAUCGAUGUCUGAAACAAAGUCAAAAAAAAAAAACCAAAACGGAAAAGAUUGAAACUUUUUUGUUUAGAUUUGUUUUCAUUUGUUCCUGAUGGCAUAUUGAUAUUUUAUUUGAUUAUAUAAGUAUAAAUAAGAUGGUGAUAUUGAGUUUCAUUCAGCCUAAAAAAAACUUAGCAAACACUUUGAUCACAGUCAGAAGAAAAGAUUUGAAACAUUUGUUGCAGAGAUUUGGCUCUUGAUUACAGUAGAUUGCACAGGUGUUGCUGGUAUUGUGUCCAACCUCUGCGGGUACUUGACGCUGUGAUUUGCAGCAAGUACUAAAUUGUGUGAAAGCACAGCUGUGAAAUGCAUUUGACAGAUGUAUCUGGCGAAUGGUUGAAAUGAGGGAUGAUCAAAGUGUGACAGAACAGGCACAGGUCCCAUUCACAUAUCAGCCGCAGGGAGCCAGGAGCAGCAGAGCUCAAGUGCGACAUUGAGAGGCAGCAGGAUUGUCUUCUGAUUGAGCUGUGUAGCAUUAAAGAGACUCAUGACUGGCUGACACGCAGCGCCGGUCAAAUGAGUCACUUUUUUUUUUUGUUGGUUUAGAGCUAGUGACAUAAAAUAGUUUGAAAAUAUUUUGUGUACUUUUCACGCUGUAUAAACCUUGUGUCCUUGUAAAAAACUGUAUCCUGUAUAAUUUUUGGUCGAUGUUGUAGACAAUGUUCAUAUGAAAGGGGAAUUAGAUUUUUAUCUACAACAAGUGAACUGAUCCAUGACAGACCAAAGUUUAUACAUUUUUGACCAGUUUUUUAAUGCUUUUUGAUUUGAACAUUAUUGUUUUUCCAUUUCAUGGCUAAGUCAGUCCUAAUCAGCCAUUGAAAAAGUGAUAUCAGUCGACUCAGUAGUCUAAAUUCAGGGGUCUAAUGGGACAUUACUACUAGUGAGCACAAUUGAAGAUGGAAUUUUAAGUCUCUUUCAAAGUAUUUACUCAAAUGGGGAUGUUCAUUAGUGACGGAUUUCCAAGUCAGUGAAUAAAAAUUAAAUUCAGACCAGCCAAUUAGUCGAAAGAUGAGCGAACACUCAGGAGUCAGUCAGAUUGAGCAGAUUGUAACACAGCUGAACAGCGUUCAAAACCGUCUUGUGUGUCGUCCUUUUGAUCACUAUUUGAAAUCACUUUUUAAUAAUUAUAUUGACAGCUGUUUGGAUGCAGCUGAAAUGUGCAGCUCUUUGCACAGUAAAGUAUGAACACUUACCCUAUCAACCACAUCCCCAAUUUAUACUAUAUAAUUGAUAUGAUCAAAUUUUGUUGUAUGAACAACAGGGUGAGCCAGACACCAGUGUGGUCACGUAAUGGUACAGAAACAGACUAAGCUAAUUCAGAAGUAUAAGAGAUAAGUUGACGACCACUUGAAGACCUAUAUGCUAACUAAUACAUGCCGCAGAAUUUUUGGCUUGACGUUCAUCUCUGAUGGGGAGUCAGCCACGCUCGACUAUCCCUCCUGCUCCUGAUUUUCUGGCAUGUCCACAUCCCAGCGUGCUCGGCUCUCCUGCUCCUGGAGGGGCUGCGUGGGAGUGAUAGACGGUUAGCAGUGACAUCCUAAAUCAGCCGUAUAGACUGAUCAAAGUGUGCCAUUGUUAGACUGAAAUUGGACUUGGGCUGGCAGCGGCGAAGCUCAAUAUGAGGCAAGUUUCUGUCCUGUCUGCUCUCAUUUCCAGCUCAGGGUUGUGAAUGAUUCAUCAUAGGGAGUGUGGAAAUGAUGGAGGAAAAGUUCAAAUAGAGAGUGACAAAUUCUUGGUUGAGAUGUCUGUACCAGAGGGGGCGAGAGGUGUUGUUAUUCAAAUGCAGAUCUUAAGUCUUUGAACACUCUAUGUUAGCUGCUUCUGUUCUGAGGAGAUUUCCUACCUUUUGUGCUUUAGCUUUCUUUUCCCUUUUUCUCUCUGAAUUGUAAUUCAGCAACUGACUUUUUUUAUUUCACAGCUUUUAGAUGUAGUGAAUGUCAUACUACUUGCAUGCAGUCACUUGUAUAAAGUGUAUGCGAAGCCAAAGAGAGCACCAUAUUUAUGCAAAGCGGCUGGCCCGCGAUACUCUAACACUGUCCUCUGUUUGUUUCUUCUUGAAGAUACGAGAUACUCUCUGAAUGGUAUCCAAGGCUAUCUUUAUUCAAAGACACUGUUGCUAUGUAGGACUGUUGCUAUGGAGGAGUCACCAACCCUUUUCAUUGAGCAGGAUGGCUGUAGCCUCGCCACAGGGAGGAGCCCUUUCUCUCUCUCUCUCCCUCUCUUUCUCUCUCUUUCUUCUCUUCCUCCUGUGUGAUUUUUUUUCCUGAGGUGAACACCCUAGGGUAGACAGCAGGGGGGCUCCUUCCUCACAUUGAUAAAAAUAAAACAGUGAGUCACUCAAGAUAAGAAGAAAUGGAAAGUUCAAGAAGUGGCCAAAGUGUGCAACUCUGCAGUACUGCAGCAUGGAGCUCAACAGGUGAAAGAUCUGAAUGCUUUAGUGCUGGCUGUUGUCUGUCCCCCUCCUCUUUGUGUUUGUCUGUGAGUAUUAAAUCAAAUCCCACAGUUUGCACACCUUGAAGGCCUACAGGCAGCCAAUAUUCUCCUCACUUUGGAAAUAUGCCCCAGAAACAGGUGCUUUAUUGCUUUUGAUUAUCAUUAAUUUCCUGAUGUAUUGUAAUCUUGUGCAAGAGGGAUGCAAGAAGUGCAAAAAUAUGUCUGGGAAAGAAAGUUAACUUUUAUUUUGAAACAACAAAUGCCUGUCAGACAGCCUGGGCUGUCAAACAGUCUUAAAAUCCCAGACUUUUGUUUCAACUUGCCCUAUAAAAUUCUCACUGAGGUGAGUAAUAAGAUUGGCGGCGUUGGAUGUAGCAGGAGAGAGCAGCUGUAAUAUUCAGUUUUCACAUGAACAGCCAGCUUUAAAGAGAAUUUUGACUUUAUCCUUUUUGUAAUGACAUGAGAGGAGGGAUUUAUAAGUUACAAGGAUUAGGACAGCGUGUCUGAGGAAUGUGCUUGCUACUAGGAGAUACUUGUUGAUUGGUAUUUUAUUAUUCUGCUAUAAUAUCAAAUUUAUGGGAGCUAUUAACACAGGAUUCAUAAAAGUAGCCUGAGAAUUUAGAGGUUCAUGUAUUUACUGUGAACAUUUAGCCAUGCUUUGGUUUUACAGCUGAGUGUACAAUGGGGUGGCAUAACUGGGUGAACACCGUAUCUCUAUAAAGUCACCAAGUAUGGAGACAGAACACAGUGUUGGUCCUGCUAUAAAUUCGGCCGCCAUGAUGGGCUUUUUUUUGUGAUGCUGUUAAACUGUGUUGCAACUCACCGAGAGUUUGUUAUUGAUGCUUCCUGAAGCGGAUGGAGAAAAUAACACCUGUCAGUGAAAUGCAGUACACUGCAACGUAACCUCAAAGGUAAAUAAACAGCUGCUCAGAAAAGUUUCAACAAGACAUAAAAGACCUCAUCUUGGUGAGAGUAGAAUUGGCUGCAGGACUUUUUGUAUUAACCUGCAUCAGUUUGCAGAUGGUGUAAGAUUACAGAGUAAACCUGUAAAGUCCAACAUAGACUGCAACCUACCUUAAAGACCCGCUCCGAUGAAUUUUGUUUUCUUGUUGUCUGUAUGUUCGAAUUGCAUUUUGUAAUGCUAGAGGACAUACCACAAAAAAAGAGCAAGUGCGAAAUUGCAUUUCUGAGUAUUUCUGCAUUCAGAUUGUUGUGAACCUCAGGCAGUCGUCCAACUUGCAGGUCAGAUUUCAUACGUAACCAAUCCAUGGGUGGGCCACAAGCUCAAAGCUCCGCCCCCCAGCGCCGUGCUCUGUCUCUGCAGGCCAGACUGGCAAGAAUUUGAGAGGAUGAUGGCUGAACAAGUGUGUGCUGUAGCGGACUGCAAUGCUAGUAGGAAAGCUAAUUGUGAUAUUAGCGUUCAUUGUACCCCCAAAAACUUUAGUCUUCUGGAGUUGUGGACAAAGCUUCUUGGUCACAGCAACAUUACAACUAAAACAUUCUUCUGCAGUCAGCAUUUCACAGAGUCAACGUUUACCUGCUGACUCUUACAGAAACUGAUUCACAUCAACCCUACAGUUGAAACAUGGUGCUAAUGUAGCCCGAUGAAGGAGCAGAGGUUGUGUCAGAAGUUGAUGAGAAUUAUUACAUGAUGUUAUGGACCGCCCUUCAAUCUCUGAAAUUAACAAACAGCCUUCAAAUUGGUCAAUUACCAUGAAAACACCCUGUCAAAGAAGGAAAAUAUUCUGUCAAAGCAAAAUCUGUGCAGAAGUUUGCUGUUUGGCUAAACUGAAACUAAAUGUGACUCUAACAGCCAGAUUUGAUUUGACUCAUGAAACUCAGAUUGUGCUCAUCAUCCUUUUUGUCCCAUCCAGAGUGUUUAGUCACUCUUUUGAUUCUUAAACUAAGAAAAAACCUUUGGUUUGACUUAACAAAGUGCUGUAGGCACCUAAAUUACCACUACAAAUCUUCGUAUUUCUUUAGAUGCUCCUAGAGGAUAUUGUAAAAACUAAUUAAAAUAUGUUGUUGCUGAAUAUUUAGAAAGUGUGCUCGGUACAAACACUUGCAGAGACAGUCAUUAACAAGCUUUCCUCAUUAUGCUAAAAAGACAUAAUCCAGGUGGCAUCAUGUUUCCUCAUGAACAUGUUUGCUGUUCCAAUUUAAGAGUAUAGGAAAGUAAUUUGAAAGAGGCAGUGCUGAGAGAGGAGAGAUCGAGAUUCCUCCGUAUGUCAUUUCAGUCUGUUUGAAUGAACGUAGAGGGUUUGGAAAGUCUAUAAAAUAAGCAAGUGGGUUGAAGUUAAUGAUUGAAAUUGCUCUGAAACCAGCAUACAUUUACUGAAUACUCUAAACUCUUCCAUGCAAAUGUUUCAGGUCUUACAAAAGGAGGAUAAAUUCUGCUCAGUAAUGAGUGCUUGAGUAUUGCAGCUCUGGUCUGUGAACCCCACUGAGACACCGUGCUGCUGCACUUUGGCUCUGAUGCUGUGCUCAAAGAUCAGGCCUCAGUGGACGUAUUCAGCCUCCUGGAGUGUCAUACCUGCAGCAGCUGUCCUAACAGAGGCCGGCGCUGAGCUGUGCCAGCUGCUGGGGAUACUGCUGUACCCUUCUGGAGUGAAACCAGCAUCAUUAGGGCAGUCCUCUCUCACACCAUCCAUGUUGAAUAACUAAAAAAAAAAAAGUGCCCACACCUGAUUUACUGUUGUUUUUCUGCCGACUGUCACGACAAUCCUUUGAAAAUAUUCAAAAUAAGUUGUGACACACUGAGAGUUCGCUAUAAUGAGCUGCCAUUGUUUUGUUAGGAUUACCCAAAAAACAACAUUUUACUUUAAGUUCAUCCUUGUUUGAUAGAUUUCAUCUCUGUGUUCAUGCUUUCCUGUUUUUAAAGAUUUUUGCUGCAUCGUCCUCAUGUAACUCUGCUAAAUUUGCCUUUAACCCCUGCUGUGAGACUGUUUUAAAUUCUGGAUCACACACUGAGCAGCAGAGCAGCUGUGUGCUGAUGCUCUUUAUAUGAAUACCACCCUCUUAUGUUUCACCAGACAGUAACAGAAUACAGAUAGGUUCAGGUAGACAUGCAGAGCCUUUCCAUAUUAGUUCAUUUUUGAUAAUGCGUGAGGCCCUGUAGUAAAAGGGCACCUGCACUGCCUGUUUCACUCUUUCUCACUGAACUUCACUCCCAUCUUUUUCACCUUUAAACUAUAUACAGGUGCUACAUGCGCUCUUUACCCUCCUCAACUCCCUCUCCUUUGCCCUCCAUUGUACAUGACUCCCUCCUGUGUCACCCUGCGACUUGUCCGCCUUCAAGGAGCUCUCGCACUCUGGCCCACAGCAAGGGUCAUCGACUCAUACCCUGUGUUCUCACCAGCAGACAUCACUCAGCUCCAACCUGGGGAAAAAAGACAACCACUAAUGCCUCACACCAGCUCAAUACCCUCACAAGUCACACAGAAAGGUCCUUGAAGUUGUGUUAGAACUGCUAAUCUUAAAUGAAGUGUGCUCACUUGAGAGGGAGUCAAAUGUUAAUGCUGCAAAACAAAGUUGUCCCUGUAGAUUUUCGAUGUACAACCAAAACUACUCCCACAGCUCUUGUCGGAGGUUUUGAUGUGUCCGUUCAGUCUGGCUGUGCUCGACCUUGUCCUUAGUUUUUGUUGCACAUUAUUCCUGCAUUAGUUGAUAGAGGUCAUGAGGGCAUGGAUUGGCCAGUUACGAUGAGAGCGCCAUCUGCUGGAUAACACAGCAAAGCUACUUGAGGUGGCCCGAUGCACUAUUACCAUAUUUUCCGGACUACAAGUCGCAAACUCAGCCAAACUAUGAAAAAAAGAGCAAUUUAUAAUCCGAAAAAUAUAGUGCACCAUAUUAUUAAGAGCUCAAAUAGCUCAUUUACCUUAAGUUAUAAAACUUUCUUAUGUAUUUAAUCAAACUAACUGGCAUUUUAGUUUGUAAUGUAAGCCAAGUCUUUUGUCUGUCAAAAGAAUUGAUUUUGGAUUUAAUCACCAAUUUACACUGACCUGAACCAAAACAACCCAAAUCUAAUCAGACUGUAAUGAAGUGAAUCAAACAGAAUUAUUCUUCACUUUAGUGAAUUGAUCUUGAAACGAAUGGUAGCCAUUCAGGCUGAUAAUUGAAUCUGGUUGUUUUGUUUGUCUUAUGAGUUUCCAUUCUGAUUCUCCACCCAGUUUCUCAGAGCAGGGACCGAGCUGACUUGGUGUACACUAUUGACAAGUACCUCAUAUGAACCUGCUUCAGAAAAUCUAAACCCACAAAUAGACUUUAACUGCGCAGAUUAGAUGUCAUUUAGGGUGUCCAGAUUGGGUCUAUUUAGGUCGUAUGUACAUAUAGAAUUUAUCAACAUUUGAUUGGGUACUUAUUCACCUAAAAAUACCCUCAGGUUCCCUUCAGAGUGAUGUUUUUCUGUUCACUUCGCUUUUUUCUCCUUAAGUGUCACAGAAAAGCACUUACACCGAGUCAUGACAUUUGGUGGAAGGUUCUGGCGAGAGGUCAAAGAAGAGCUCCAUAAAUUUGAAAGAUCAGGAUCUGACUCAGAAAACAAAUUUUCCCCCCCAUAUCUCCUGUGUCUGAAUAACAAUGGAUCAGGCUCAAAGUAAAGUAAAAUUUUCUUCCUCAGGACCCGACAUUACUCACUAUGCGACAGCUGUUCAUGAUAACAAGGUGCCUUGUUUAUGAUGCCUCCAGUCUUAGUACUUCAGAGUAGCUGUGAGUCACCAAAAUCGGCACGCAUGUUGAGGUGUUCAUCAGCAAGACACACAUUCAUAUUUGGAAAUGACAGUCAGGAUUAUAACUUGAGGAAAAUAUUUUCCAUUUGCUCUUGCUGUUUUGCAAAUAUAAAAUUGAACCAUCAUUUUGUCAAAAUCUUACAAAUAGUGAAUUUUCUUCCUUCCUCCCACCAGCCUGCAAAUUUCUACACCCUCUUCCUUCCCGAAGCAUCGGCUGCAGAGUCUGGCAGAGCUGCUGAGCUCAGCUGUCCUUAUCUCCAUUCAGACAUGGCAGCUCAUAGAUUAUGUAUGGUUCCUGCGGUAUAAAGCCAUGUCCUCCCACAGAUCAUGAGGAGGCCUGGUUGUGAAAACACACACAGUUAGAACCUGCAACAUACGUACAUGGACUGUGAUCAUAUUAAUGCCCCCUUGGAUAUCUUGAUAGGUACUUAAAGCUUUCACACCUCCUGCUGUGCACACAAGAGUGCUUCACAGGGUCUGACAGAGGUCUUUAGUGAUUUUACUGAAGCACAAUAAGGUUAUUGAGUAAAUUAUAGGGGGCAUUUUGACAGGUUUGCAUUAUAGUCCAUAAAGAUUAGAUUGUAUUGCAAUGGACUUUUUGUAUUAUUCUAUUGCACUAGCAUUUCUAUGCAACUCAAUGCAACUAGCAGUCAUUCUUAAACCUUUCAAAUCCAGAGAAUGUGGAAGUGAAAAAGGCUCUGCAUUGUUUCUGUAGUCCACCGAGGGAAAUGUAGGAGUUUAAAUUGGCUCCAUCAAAAACUCAUCUAAAACACUUAUAAAACAUGUCUUAAGCACUUAUAAAACAUACUUAUCCCUUUUUAUUUCCCACUGUAAAUAAACACAAACAUAAAACCUGUAUUUUCCUGGUACAAAUCCAUCCAUGUUUCAGGCUCUGUUGUCUGCUCAUGCAGCAGAAGCUUCUCCUCCUUCUAUUAUCCUGUUUUCCUUCACCCUAGGCGUGCCUGGGGAGGCAUGUUGACCAAAGUGUAGGGCCUCACAUCUCUAUAGGUGGGGAUGAAUCCACCUUGGAUCUGUGUGUCAGCAUGUUUACCCGUCCUUCAGGGGAGUGGGUGUAAGGAAUCUGGGCCAGCCCUUCAGGCCGGCUCCCAGUGACCAAGCACAGCACCCCACAAUAGAGGCGACUAAUUAUUACACAUAGGCGUCGACACACUGAUGUUUCCCUGCUCGUCUUCCACCUUUUUGUCUUUUUCUGCAGUGGAAGGUACAGGACAGAGUGUUUGAGAGGAAAAUAAGUUAAAAGAUGAGAGUAAAAAGGAAGAAGAGAAGGCCCAAAGCCUGUUUGCUGGCAGGGCCACUUACAGAGCGCCAAGGGGUGAGGACUCCCUAUUCAGUACGUGCCAUCAAGUGGUCUGUUCCCACAGGGAAACACUGGCACAGCCAGGGGCACCACUGAGGCACAGGAGAGGACUCCUUUCUCCCCCUGAAAAGAAAAUGUCCUCCAGAGCAGGAGUGCUGUAAUUUUCUUUUAUCAUUUACUUCUCUCUUUUCUUCUCUGCCUCCUUUUUUAUGUCUCUUACAAGCUCUUGUUUGAAUGACCACCAUGGCUGCUUUCCCAACACUUGUGGAAAGCUGUUUUUCAAAGAGGCCAAUCGCACACACUCUUUCAGGUUGUGGAGUAGUAAGAUCUACUGUACCACACUACACAGUGAGUUUAACUGGACUUUCCAGAGAAGUAUCACGGCUUUCUAGUAGGUAGUCUACCAGUAAGUUUGUACUUUCGGUGCAGGUAAUCGUAAAGUCUGAAAAUUCUUCUUCUUGUGGUCCAGAGAAGUCAGUUUAAGAUUUGCAGUUGAUUCUUUUUCUCUAAGGAACAGAGUGAGGGUGAGCUUUAUAUAAUGUGUAGGAUGCAACAGGGCCACACAGCAGGUGGUACAGGAUUUUUUUUUUUGGGGGGUGGGGGGGAUCAUAAACCCAGCUCUACUUUUUAACACUAGCUGCAUAUACAUGUGCACAAAUAAUCAGAAUAAAUUCCCGAUCGGAAUAUAAAUGCGUCAUGUAAACAUGUCGAUCGGAAGAUUCUGAUCCAAUUCAGCUCAAUCGGAACGAAAUUGUAUGCUGAUAGUUAUUCCGAAAUGCGUCCAUGUAAACACUUAUUCCGAUUGUGACUUUCUUACCUGACUCGAUCGUCACUCUUUAUUCGGCUUAUUUAUUAAGGCCAGUCCAGGAGGUUUCAUUAUUAACACACUGGCAUAAAACACAACCGCAGUCGCUGUGUCUGCUCCUCCGAUAACAUAACAAGGCGUACAUACAGCGUAAUGAUGUCACAUCUGCACACACAGUGCAACCUUUUUUAGAACAGUAAAAUAAGUAUGCAAGGGCGCCAUCCAGUGACAACAUUUAGAAGGGGGAAAACUCCUGAAUCGGAUGGAGUAAGCCACUACUGCGUUUGUUGACAGCACAGGCAUAAAUACAACUCUUCUUCUGCGGUUGUUUUAGCAAAAUCAGACAACUCUGCGCAUGUCCAAAUGCUUCUAAUCUGAAUAAAUCUUGGUGCAUGUAUACGCAUGUCAUGAUCAGAUUAUUUGUUUUUGCACCCACAUAAACAGUGGAUUCAGAUUAUGCGAUCCCUCAAAUUUUAACCGGAUCAAGAAAUUUUGCCCAUGUAAACAUGGCUAGUGUGAGGAUGGAAGCACACUGUCCUAAUGAAUAUAUUUUUCUUUUUAUAUAUUUAUAUUUAUAUUUAUAUUUAUGAUUUCUUUUAAUCCAAUUGAUUCACCAGGCAAGUUUUGCUUAUUUUGAGAGUCCUUCUAAUAUAAAUAGUGGAACUUGUCGUCCUCUAUCUCAUCAUUUUUGGAGGGUCUCAGUGAGUGCUGAUAAAAGUUGACUCAUCAAAAGCCUUAUGAAAUACCGAGUCCUCUCGAUUUCUAGUCAUCCUUGAGAAAAAUGCUCAAAACAAAAGUGUUAAUAGACCUUCACAUAAUGAAAUCCCAGCUGAAGGACAGAACAAAUCCAAUGUUGCUGUGCUUGUGAAUGACGUUGUUUUCCUUUUGAAAACUAAAAAGAUUUUGAGGGAACAGAAGGAACACAGUCACAGUGUUGGAGUCUCUGUUGUCAUCAGAUGUCCUCUCUGUCGAGGUAUUGCAAUUUCACAGAAAUCAUUUUUGAACUCACUGGAGCCAAAUAUCCAUCCUCAGUCUGUUGCACACUGUUCAAAAAACUCCACGGGACACCAUCUUCAAUCUAGACGCUCCUAAAGUCCCACAAACCCGUCUCCAGUCUUACGUACAGUAGAUGACAGAUAUCACAGACUGGAGUAAAACACAAACAGCAGGACCCUGACCCUCGCUCAGACUCGGUGCACUUUUCCUGAUUUGAAAUAUUGAGCGUGAGGUGAAAUGACUGAGCCUUAAGUGGAAAUAAUCCACUUUCUCUGGUUCUUCUUCCAGAGUCAGAGCUCACCUUUAGUUCACCUCACUCUCAGAAUUAACUUUUCCCUGCCUUCAAGAGUUUACAAACUUGUUUUCCUCAUCACUCUCAAGCAAUGUCAUUCCUGUGUUUUUUUCUCACUUAUUUUUUUGCUUCUGUGCUCCACUUUUUUUUUUGCCUUUCCUGUGCAAAUUAAGGCAUAAAUUAGAAAAGCAAACGGCUCCUGACAGCUUCUGUUUCUCAUGGGAUUUGAGGCUGAUUUGCUGCACAUCUUACAUCCUGGUUGUCUGCUGAGAUGUGUAAUACUAUCAGACUGUUAAGACACAAACAGUGUAAAUAUUGGUUCUAACUAAGGUAUCAAGCUUUAGAAGUUUCAGAGAUAUAAGGGUGUUUUUUGGCUUCCUUUUCCUCAACUUGUGAGCUUUUUAAGAUCAGCCAAAUUUCUCAGUUUGUGUGUGUGUGUGUGCUUGUGUGCAUGAAUGUACAGUGUGUUUUUGUGUCCUAUAUUGCAAAUUGUGUGCCCCAAAAAUGUAUCACUGAAAGUUAAGUAUGUCAGUGCUCUGACUUGGAUUGACUUCCAAAGCAUGCUUCUCUUUCCUGUCUGUCUGAGAUGUAUGUGUGUGUAUGUGUGUGUGUGUGUGUGUGUGUGUGCGUGUCUGUGUGUGAUACUAACUCUAACAAGGCCAUAACACUUCUAUUUACCAGGGAUAGGAGGAGUUUGACCUCUGUAUUUUCUGUGGGGCAGUCUUGUGUGGUUCCUGAUGAGAAGCGGGCGAUACUGUGACCCUCAGGUCAGCUGCAAUGAGAGAUUGGAUUAUUGUUUUGGUACUGACUGUCAGUGUUUGUUAAGAUGUCAUGCUGGGAUUAAUGUUUUCCAAAGAGACUCAGAGGAGUGGGAAGAAGAGAUGGAAACAGCAGGGACAGGCCUGAAGUAGCUGCUACUGAAGUAGAGACUUUUUGAGUCCUCCAAAGUGCGCUGUUAAAUAUUUUGAUCACAUUCUCUCAUACCAAAACUUGCAAAGUCAUAUUCCUCCAUUGGGCACCUUUUUCUCUGUGCUUUUCAUUGAGAUCAGUUAUCAUUCAUAUUAGGGCUGGGUGAUGUGGCCUCAAAUCAAUGUCACGAUAUAUUGAGCAGUUCACCUCGAUAAUGAUAAAUGGACGAUAACUACUCCACAUGCUGCUCACCCCCUCUCACAUUAACUUAGUCUACUUCAGCCACUACAACUUUUGAACCACCGUCCAUCCCCUCACCUGUCUUUCCCUUUUGGACUGGAUUGGGUCUUAAAGGGAUAUGAGACUGUAGCCUAACUACACACAUCCAAAAACAACUUUUAUUUAUUUAUUUUUUUGACACCGGAUAUAUUGACACAGGCAAAAUGAUGUCGGUAACUAUCGUAAAUUUUGGUAUCGGUAACCUUUUGGUUUAUCGCCCCAGCCCUAAUUCAUCUAAUAGGAAGUUUGAAUACAUUUGAGAUAGCCACUUACCCAUUCCAAUGAUUGUAUUAAUGGGAAAAGCAGUCGUAUAACCCAUGGGCAAUCGCUGGACAUCUCCUUGUGAUUGAUUUACAAUGAUCAGGUCUUAGGGUAGCUGGAUUAACAACUACCCGAUUAAGAUUAGUGGUACGUAAAAAAUAGUUUUUACGUCUCCCUCUGAGAGAACAAGAAAACUCCUUUUUAAAAGCUUGUUUGUUGAAUAGAGGUCAGACCCAUCAUUUCUGAUGCAUUCCAGCAAGUCAGAAAAUCCAAACCCUGAUUGGUUUUGGUGACAUGGUGUCAGGCAGAUUUGUAGCUCAGGUUGAAAUCUUACUUUUUCGUUUGGAGACACUUAAAUUGUCACCAAAAUACUGCAGAUUGGAUUCUGGCCAUCAGUACGUCAAAAUGUCAUUCUAUCUGCUUUUGUACCCCAUGCAGAAUGUUUGUCCUUAAUUCACUAAAAAACUUGCUAAAAUGUGAUUCUGCUCAGGCAGCAGGAAAAAAAGCACUUUCAUUGAAAUCAGUUGAUAAAACUUUGAUUUUUUUCCCCCCUACGGACAUAGCUGAAGCCAGCCCCCAAUAUCACAACGCCUGAAUGCCGUCCUUUUACUGAGGUUUGACUCAGGCUUUGACAUUGGGUCUUAAAAGUACAGCCAGAAACCUGAGGGCUAAUAAAUUUUGUCCAGUUUCUCCUGCCGUCAUUCUAAUUUAGCAAAAGCUUCAUUCUUUUCAAACUGAACCACGAAAUACAUUUAUUUAGCAGAUAGUUCAGCCAUUCGCCACAAACUGGUGCUGACUACUAUCUAUGUGUGUGAUGGGUCCUUGUGAUUCUUCUUACCGCAAAAAAACUCCAUGUUUGUUGGGUUCACCUUGAACACCAGUCCCUUCUUUUAUUUCCCUGCAGUAUCCUUCCUCCUCCCCUUGUCCCUGUGCAUUUAUGAAGCACGUUCAUGAAUACCUUGAAUAGGCUCAAUUAAAUUUGUUGAAGUUGAACAGUCUUACUUUUGGUAUGUUUUGCUCCUGGCAGUGAGGAUCUAGUUGUUUCUGUGAGGUUAAAACUCUUACAUAUGAAAUGAGGUUAUGUGCAUCUUAUGUGAGGAAGCCGCACCACAGAUGUAUGACAUAAAAAGGGAAAAAAAAGCUUAGUUCUUUCUCUUCUCUUCUCUGAGUAGACUGUCAGGCUUUAAACUUUGCUCUGUUCAUUUUUUUCUGUCGCUCUUUCUUGCUCUAUGCCUGUGUCUGUCGCCUCAUUUUCCUCGUUGUUCCAAAAUAGUAAUUAGUUCACAAUCACACUGGUGCCAGAACACAAAACCACAGAAAUAUGCAAUCUGAGGCUUGGGGGGCAGCUGCCUCUUCAGCAACAAGCAUAUGGCAGACACCCUUUUUGGAAUGUAACACCCUGAAUUGAUUGAUCAUGCCUGCACCCCCUUCUCCCCCACAUCCGCUCACUCUACUCUUCAUCAAAUUAGGCCAGUUUUACAUUUUUCCCACAACUAUUAGCUUUUAUUUAUAGCUCUCAUUAGCAGCAAUUACCUCAAACCUGUGUGAAUGAAAAGGAAGGUAUCAUUUUGGGCCUGUGGUGUGUGCUGCAACGCAACAGGGCUGAGAUGAUGUGGUCCUGGAAGACAACAUACACGUGCACACACACACACUGACACAGAAACACUCACAUUUGGUUUAUGCAUUCCCCUUGGCCUCCAUGAUAGGGGAAUGUUAACGAGUGGAGCCAGCCUUCAAGCUGAGCUCUGUGCCAUAUGGGCCUGCCAGGGGAGUGGCACAAUUCCUAUUGACUAAUUUCCCUCAGAAGCAUCUCACACACACACACACACACACACACACACACACACACACACACACACACACACACACACACACACACACACACACACACACACACACAGACUGACAAAACAAAACAAAAAGCAAUGAAAAACUGGCUCUCCAUUAUGACUUUAGCGCCAGUGCAGCCACAGGCCUGCUAAAGUUUCCCACAUUGAAAAAUAUACUUCUAAACAGAAGUUUUAACAAUAUUAAAACAUGAACCUUUACUCACCUCAUUAUUUGAAAUUGCAUAAAAUCAAAAGCUGCUUGGUAGAGUUGUAACAUCUUUGUCAGCACUGGCCUCCAGUAUAGUUACAAUGUAGUGGUAUUAGUAUUGAGGAGUAUGCCAGUAACUGUACCAGGGCUUGAGAAGGAGCACAUGUGCUCCUAAGUUAAAAAAGUAAGGAGCACACAAAGAACUUUAGGGGCACAAUGAAAAUUGAACAAAUAAUGUGUGUCUUAUUGGUUGACAUAAGUAUUAUUUGAAAUGAAUUGCAGGUCUUUUGGUCACAUGACAUGGAAGCUAUUGGAGGAAAACAGCCUUUUUGAGAACAUCAACAGGUAAUUUAUUGAUGGUCCCUUUAAUUCAACACAGCGAGGGUGUCGAGUAGAUUUAAUUGUGCUGCUGUUGCUAUUCCUGGUUACGGAGAGGGAGAAGACACCGUAGAUCCUCAGUAAAUUUCCGUCGGAUAUCCAACCUGAAACUAACUUCACCUCUGUAUUUACAUUAAAAAACAUUUGUUGCCUCGGCUGAUUUUAUUUUGCACACAUGUGCCCCUGAAUGCAUUUUACAAUUCGCACACAUGUAUUUUUAGUUGCAAAUGCAAGUGAAACGGUUGCACUGUCGGGCCCUGUGUACCCAUAUGAAACCGAAACCAUAACCCCCAUUCAUUUAUCAUUAUUUGAUUGUAAUGAUAUUUAAAUUGAUAAGCCUGGUAUUGCUGUGUCUUGAUACUGUCUUAUUACUGCUCUAUUGUCGUGUCGUGUUGUAUCAUAUCGUGAAUACGGGGGUUUUACAAUUAUUGUGAUUCUUUGAACGCAAGCAUUGAUUAUUAUUACAUGUUUUGGUUCAACUGUCUUAAUAAAAGCAAAUGUGGAAAUCGCUUGAAUAGAACAGAAACUGCAUUUCUGAUAAAUACUACCAAUUCUGUCAGCUCUAUCGCCGACAUUGAGGUUUUUGGUCCAUCUCCUCCUCCUCCUCCUCCUCCUCUUCUUUAGUCUCGUUCCCAGUUCCUCUAUCAAAGACUUGGUGGGGGGCAGGUUUCCCCUCAACGGAAGCCAAAGUCACACACUCCUAACACUUGUUCACACUGAGUCUUUGUCCGACACACUCGGUGUAACUUCCACCGACAGAAAUGUGUUUGUGAAAUUGUGAUCUGACUCAGUGUGAAGACGUGGUCAAGGCGUACUUUGGUAUGGAUGCCACAUUUUUGUUCAUGUCUCAGGGUGGGCUUUAGCAGCAGAAACAUACGGAGCCCCUAAAGGGACAUGGGUGGACUUUUUUUUUUUGCGAGAUCUCGCAAAAGUAUUGCGAGAUCUCGCAAUACUUUUUGCGAGAUCUCGCAAAACGUAUUGCGGGAUCUCGCAAUACUUUUUGCGAGAUCUCGCAAAAGUUUUUUCUCCAUUCAGUGAACCGGAAGUAAAACACGCCUAAAAUAGCCUAAAAUAAGCCUAAAAUAAUAAUAAUAAUAAUAAUAAGAAGGAGCAACAGAGCACGGAUGAUGUGUACCAUAGACAUAAUAAAAGAUAGACCCCGCAUCGGCCGCUACCACGAAUGGGCGCUGUCGAGAAAUGCGGCCGCCAUCUUGGUCCGGUCAUCCGCCUCACUCUGCACCACUGUCUUCCUCUUUGGCCUACAAAUGACUCUACAGUCAAGUGUAAUGUUGAAAAAACGUGUAAUCAUAACUGUGAAAAGUUAUUCCUUGAGCCCUGUUCUCUGCUGUCCGCCUGUUGGCACAGGAAUACGCCGCACAGUGCUCCGGCAUCGCUGAAUGAAUGAAUGAAUGAAUAUGAUUGACCGGAGCGUAUGGGAAGCUUGACCUGACCAAGAUGGCGGCCGCAUUUCUCGCUGCGCAGCACCCCCAGCGGGGUCUACCCUUUUAUUAUGUCUAUGAUGUGUACGCUCCUCCAUCAUGUGUGUCUGUUUUACUUCCGGUUCACCGAAGUAGGACAGAACUUUGCGAGAUCUCGCAAAAAAGUAUUGCGAGAUCUGGCAAUACUUAUUGCGAGCGCUCGCAAUACUUUUGCGAGAUCUCGCAAUACUUAUUGCGAGCUCUCGCAAUACUUUUGCGAGAUCUCGCAAAAAAAAAAAGUCCAUCCAUGUCCCUUUAGGGGCUCCGUAGAAACACAAUGUUGUCAAAACUAACAUCAGAUGGGUUUGCUUGGCUUCUUUUGUUUUUUGGACUUUUGGACAGAAGUUUCACAGCAUUUGUUGUAUUUUAUCUAUAUAUGUAUGUUUUGAUAAGCAGCAUACUAAUUUAGACAAAUGGUCUUCUCUAUAAAAUAACUGAAAUUUCAGUAAAUUUCCAGUUAAUUUGUCAAUAUUGGAGCCGAUAUCCGAUCCAAAUAUCGGAUCUGUGCAUCUCUAGUUUUAGGCAUUAAAAUUCACAAUAUGAACACCGUCAGUCUUUUAUCGUGGAUGAUCUUGUUAGAGGUUUGUUAUCAUAAUAAAGCAUCAAUAUAAAAAUUUUUAGUCUAUUUCAUAGUCAUCAAAAAAACCCUCAAAGGAGCUUUAAAACACAUGCAUAAACGUACCACUUAAACUCCUUUAAACAACACAAAAAAGUAACUGUAAAAUAUAAAAGUGUUGUACAUUCAGCCAUCACCAUCCAAAAACACUAUCUAGUUAAAACAUCAUAAUUUUUACUGAGUGUAAAGCUGCUCAUUCUUCCUCCUGGAGACUCAUCAGUGGGCCCAUGAGCCUUGAAGAGUUUGAUGGUGUGGGAGAUGAGGGAAUUUCUAACCCUGUUAGACGUAGCCCUUGGCGGUCUUAAUCUCCGUCCAGAGGGGAGAAACUCCUCAAAAGGACAAUGGAAACGGCUCUUCAGAAAUGAUUCAAGCCUUUGAAAUUGCUCUCUUGGAAAAAUGUGAGACAGAUCAGGCAGUUUAACACCAUUGAUCAUACUGGCAAGCCCCGCUGCACUCUUGAGCAAUAAAACUGCAGUUGUUCUCUUUUUUUCAGUCAAGCUUUCAAUAAUAUGCAGCCAUUGAUUUGAUGGUGACAGAUAUUCACCUGAGUAAAAGUAUUUGGAGUUUGGAAUAUUUUCGGUUCAUGACGGUGUGAGGGAUCCAAGCUGACCAUGAUCCCUACAGUAGCAAAGUAAGAUAUUCACAGUUUAGUCUGAUAAAAACAAAGUGAAAUGAAUACUAAUGCAGAUGCAAUCAGCAUAAGUAAAGUGUAAAGCCCAUCAUUAGGGACCGCCUCUGCUGCUGCUAGCUGAAAAUGCUGAGCUCUAAUCAUACAUUCAUCCUGAUGUAACAGGUUACACAGAGUCUGGGAAUACACUGCACCAAUUCUGCAAGUCAAAUUUCUGAAAACUGUAAAAAUAUGCAAAACUGUGAGAGACAAUUUGGCCCUUGGAGUUUCCAUAAUGUAUUCUAAUUUACUCAUUUCUGUUCCGUGUUGUCAAGAUGUUUUGUCACUUAAUUACACAGCUACAUUGCAUUAAUUCUUUCCCCAAAGUUAAGCUCAAAAAUAGGAUCUCUACUAUUUUGCUGAGUGAAGCCUAUUCCCAGUGCAUACAGAGGCCACUCAAUUAACUGAACUUUUUAAUUGGCCUAAACCCUACCCUCAUGGCCCCAGGGUCACUUUGAAUAAAUGCAUCUUUUAUUCAUCUGGCAUAUGCCUAAAUUGAAAUCUAUUAGAAGUCAUCUGAAACAACAUAAACAUCGUAUCAAAAAGAUGUUUCUGAAAGUGAAAAACUAACAAGGAUUUAUUCUCAUUGUCGUCUUUCUUAGUAAAAUGAAGCCACGCUUUAGAUCGUUUCUGCCUACUUUUCAUACCAUCCACUAUGUUUUUUCCUCAAAGUCUCUGUUCUUGUUCGCGUAGACUGCCUCUCACAAGACCGUUUUCCAAAGCACCCGAAAGAAAGGAAUCGUUAAGGGAAUCAAUAAAAUGAAAUGUAAACAAUGUCGACGGAUUGAACCAUUUGAAACCGGUUAUCAACAAGAACCGGUUCUCGAUUCCCAUCCCUAAUGCUCUUGCUUGCACAUAAGUAUGACUCCAGUAUAACACAGCGACCAAGUGCUGUCCUUGGGAAUGUGACAGUUUUUGCUUUUUUAAGUUGAGAUUUAAAUUAGACAUGAAGAGAAACAACGGGGAGAAGAGAUUUGAGGAGAAGUCAAACUGAGAUACAGAGUAAACCACACAACCACACAAUUAGAACAAACACAGAAGAUGAAACAGCGACUCUGUGGUUCUCUGUGGCUGUCACACAACCUGGCAUUGUUACUCGGUCCGUGGCGGAGGCUGUGCACCCAUAAUUCAGUCUGAUUUAGAGCUGUGAUGGGGAUAAUCAGCAGUAUAAUUUGGAGGAGGGUGUGACUGGACUGGAUAAAAGGAAUUCUGCUGUUUGUGGCACACCUCACUCCCUCCUUAUCCUCUAUCUCAAAUCAAAGUCAUUUCACUCCACUUCUGCUGCUUUCGGCCAUGUCCAGAUCACUUUAUUUUCUUUUUUAAACACUUAGCAUUUAUUAGAUUUUACAUAUUCUGGCAUAAACAGCCCCACAGUUUGCCUGGGACAUGCCUCUUAAGGUUUGUUUAGCUGUCAAGUUUUGGUAAAGCAUUUUCACUGGGCUUUUGCUUUAUAACAGCAGGAGUCAUGAGAAAGUCAACAUUUGAUUCUGGAGGCUUAAUGUGUUUGCUUUUUACACCUCUUUCAUUAUCCUUGUCAUUGUUGUGACUUCAGCCAGCAGUGCUGAUGGCUGUUUGAACAAAACGCCCAGAGAAAUCUGAUGAGGAAUACUGCUACUAUUAGGUCAUUGUCAAGGCAUUGCAGGACAAAAUAUCAAUACAACAACAUACCCUUACCCUUACAAGGAUGUAUGGUGUUAAAAACUACCUGCGCUAAAUGAUUAUUUGUUAAAUUAAAAAGUUGUGAUACUCCAAAUACAUUUCCUUGCCAGUUUGACCUAGCCUCGUCACUUGUCCUUGCCAAUUUGACUCAUCAUGUCACAGCUUUGUGACUCCUCACAGUGGCGUGAAUGACGUAAAUAAGUAGAAUGUGAACUGAAGGUAAUCGACUGAUAAAGACGUUAACAGCUAAAAAAUGUUGUUGUAGUACAGUAAAACCAAAGUGCAGUGAAUGAAUGAAUAAUACAGUACUCUGUCUUUUUGGGUGAUUUUGUAUUCUUUUGUUAAACAGAUAUUAUGACUCAUUAUAUAAGCACUUGCAAUACAUCAGUGUAGCUUUAUCAUGAUAUUACUGAUAUAUUGGCCCAUGUUUGGUAUGUAGUAUCGUGUUGCACAGCAUUGCAGUGUAUUGUGUGCUAUCUGCUGAUCUCCAUCCCUAAUAGCAACAGUAGCUUCUGAGGUAUGAGCUUGAUUGACCACAGCUAAGGAAGAUAAUUUCAAAUAUUCUUCGAUAAAUUAUAAGUGUGCGGUGCUGUGAUGAGAGGAAUUUAUCCACAGUCUUUGGUUUGGUUUCAUGUAUUUACGUUUCAAACUAGAUGAAAAUCGACAGGAGUAUAUUGACUUUGUUCUCUUCUGACACCAUUUUAGUUUGGCUAAAAGGGGUUGCUGUGAUUUUUUCGCAUUUUCUCAUCUAAACUGACAGGCUUUCAUUUGGUUGACAGCUGAAAUGUUCCUGAAUUGCAGAGGUUACAUUAGGGUUAUCUAACAAGAACAGCUGCCAUUAUUUCCACUUCGAAAAAGAAACUGAAAAUAUGUGGCAGAACAGUAAAAAAAACAGUCUUAGUAGUUGUCAUUUUGAAUUCAAUUAAAAUUCAGUGCAAACACAGUUGAAGGACAAAAAUUAAUGAAAAUUUUAGAGAAAUGUGAGAGGUUGUUCCGUUGGAUUAUAAUCCAUCAAGGUUUGCUUGUCAAAUGGCAGCAUUACUUUGAUGCCAUUAACUUGACAGCCAUUGUGUUUUCCCCCUCUACAUCUUAACCUUUAUUGGAGAGAACUCUACCCUCUGAAUCACCCACAAACCCAACAUAAGUCCAUUUACUUGUUCUUAAAAGUCAUCCCCCCAUUUGUGAUUAACUUCCUCCAGCAUGGCCAGACCGACUAUCGGUUUUCGCCACAGUAAUUGCGUCUCGUUCGAAGAGGGGGCUCGGCAAUAAAGUUGUCAGUGUGUAUUACAAUGUGGGACAGAUGAGGAGGAAAAUGCCGGCCUGUCCUCUCAUCUUAAUGACAGCCAUCUCCAGCAACAGACAGCUCAUCUCAUCUUCACCAUUAAGACUGAACAGUCAGGGUGACAUUGUGUCUAUCAUGGUAGCUUUAUGAAAAACAGGGAGCUUCUUGUCAGCCAGGUAACACCGACAAUCAUGCAGCUUCACCCUGAUGAAUUCAUUUGGUAAUGAUGGUUUGAUGUUGCAGUCUUGUCGGGGGCUGAUAUUUGAUGCGAGGAGCACGUGUUGGGUCAUUUCUCAGUCAGGGUUAAUGUCGACUUUGCAGCUUGUUAAUAGCGUACAGGGUAUUCUGCCCAUCAGAGUCCUGCAUCAUUGGAUUCUACUCAACUCUAGCAACCUGCUCACUGUAUGUUGUUCCACUUGAAGCUCCGAUGAUGACUUUUUUGACAUUUAUAAAAUAGACAAAAUUCAUUCUGAUGCCAUUUAAUUAGCAACAAAAACAAACAAGCCAGUCAUCAACAAAAUUGAUGAUUUUUAUUAAUUUAUAGCCUAAAACUAGUGUGAGAGGGUAGCUGUUAGCUAAGAAACGGCUCAGUUUUUACAUUUUCCACGUGAAUAGUACAACAAAGUAUAUAUUUGACUAUCAAGGGUCAGACAGAUGAGGUUUCUUGUCAUAAGACACUACUGGAGUGUGUAGAUGACAAGAUAAGCAAAGACGUCUUUGUCCACCACGGGUGUCUCAAACCAAAAGUUUAACACAGGAGCUUUAAAGGAAUAGUGCACACCUGAAAAAAAGAAUCAACAGUAGAUACUACUCUCUUGGCAACAGUAAACUUUGGAGUAGAUCGGUCAACUUAACCUUUUUUUUUUUAAACAUUGUCCUAUGACGUAUGGGUCUGGAACCUCUGUUACUCUAAAGUUUCCCUGUAGGUGGCAGAUGUACCAACCCAAUCACAGUCCUUUAUUUAGGAUAAAGACAUAGGAGUGCUGCUUUAGCUUAUUGGUAAACAACCAAGAAGGCUGCUUCUGCCAUAGGGAGCUCUCUGUUUACAUCACUGUUGCCAUGCAUUACCUUACGUGCUGCAAUCUGAUAGUGUCUCUACAAUCACUUUCAGUGGUAUUUUUGUAUGCAGCUGUUGCUAAUAACCUCCUAACAGGUGGAAUGAAUUGACAGUCCUGGAUUCAUUCACUAAUGGCUUUAUUUUAACUUUAUUCUAAAUUCUUUGUUUUUCAUAGCAAUGGUCUGCUAUUGAGAAAUAGCAGACCUCAGUAUGCCAGAAAUGACUGAUUAAGUAUUUAACACAGUUGUGAAAUAAUCAGCUGUAACAACCUGCUCACUGUACAUUAUACCUCUUAUUGUAGGAGUACAAUUAAAAAAAAGGAUUGAACUCAAAGUUUUAAAUGACGUAUUGUUUUUAUGAUAUGAAAAAAAAAACUGUAUUUAUUGUGACAAAAUAGUCCCUCAGUCUCUAAAGUCGGAGCUGCAACAUCUUCACACUAAGGCUCCUUUGUAAAUGAGAACCAAAUAACCAACACAGCUGUGUCAUAAUAAAUGAUGUAUCACACCAAGCAGUGAAAGCGGUGACAGUUUGCUGUGAGACAGCCAGAUUGUGCGGCCCAACAGCUUGAGGAUAUUAUAUUUACCUCUCAUCUACACUGUUCCCUCUGGAGCACUGUUUAACUGUCCAAUGAGGCUCACACCCUCCUGUUUUAUAGAUGGCCUCAGUUAACACCAUAUCAGCACCCGCCUCUAAGAAUUCAUUAGGGAGCACCUCAAUCAUACAGGCGGAGAGGGACGAGUCAAUUUGGCGGCGUGCUGGAGGUGCAGGUGGAGUUAUCAUCCUGUGUGUGAGCGGGAAGACCAGCCAGCUAUCAGUUUAUUCUGUCUUGGGCUGGGGGGGUGGUGGUACAAAAUGUAACUGUGGAGGUGGGGAACAACUGCAACACCAACCUGAGGUGAUGCAGUCACCUGUCUCCAUCCUGCAAUAAGCAGCCAAAAUUGAGCUCAUAGUGUAGGUGGUGACAUGCGCAGCACAGUCCCUGUAAGCCUGCAGUUCAUUCAUUAUUUAUAUCCUGAUAUGUGUAUUUUUUGUUCUAAAUAAAUACCUGCAGGACACUGAAGUAAAACUCAAGGGAAACAGUAUGACAGACGAAAAUAGGAUAAAUUGAAAUCAUUGCUUAUCAAGAUGUUUCAGGGGAAAAAAAAACAUCCAAGUGUGGUUUGAGUGACUGUUUUGUUGGCCUUCAAUAAUUGAAUCCUUUCCAAAGACAUACUUAAAUUUACCAGUGUCAUAUUUAUGUUUGUUUUAUUGGAGGAGGCUGUAACUUCAUCUGUCAUCUGUCUGAAAGUGGAAAACACAGGAGCAAGAACUGAGGAUGGGAUCUGACCCUAGAAGUGGCCUUAAUUAAUUUUUUUAUGACUUGAUGACAAUGAUUGUGAUUUUUCCAGUAUUUUAAUUCAUAACUGAAUACCUGUAAAACUUAAACUCUUCAGUUUUCUCAGAUAUGCUCAUAUUUGGUGCUAUUUUGCAAAAUUCAUUUAGUUGAAUUGAGAAAAAAAAGGCAGCAGCAGUUGACCUCUGCAGUCAUUUUUGGUGGAUGAGCAUUAGUCCCAUUAACAUUUGUCCAAAUUAAAACAAACAAACAAAAAAAAAAAUCCCUUCUUCUUGGUUUUAGAUGUUCAUAACAAAAGGAUAAUUAAUGUUAUAGCUUGGACAGAUUAUGCAUAUUUGUGAAAUAGUGCUACAAAAAGGUGACACUGAUUGUUGUGCACUAUCUUGAUUGAACCUUGGAGUCCUUGGUCACUGUUCUGAUCUCACCUUAUUCACCAGAAUAAACAGACAUACAGUGAUAUUGUUUUGGUAUAGUUUGAGUGAAACUAACUUCAGAGGGUGGCUGUUUUUUAAUAGGUAAAUCCGGUACAGAGAAUUGCAGCUUUUAACACAGGUCUUAACAAAGGGUAUACUGAGUGUGUGUUUGAGACACUGUUAGAUCAGUAUUUCAGUGUGAGAUUUACUAUCGUCGAAGUUUACUGUUAAAACAGUUAAUUGGUAAGUAGGUCUUAAUAAUAAGUAAUAAAAUUGUAGUCUAAUUUAAUGUUCUGCAGAUUUUGGCAGCCUUUACUACCCCUUAGCAAGUCGUCCUUUUACCGUCCAUUUUUGACCCUCUUUUCUGUACUCUACUCUGAGAUGACAACCUGUUGUAGCAUUUUAGCUACAUCCUCAAAACUAGUGUGGCCGCACUGACAUCCAGACUUCUAUUUAAAUUAUGUACAACUUCAGCAAACUUCCAGCAAAGUUGUUACAGCUCAAGAUGUGUCUACAGUAAAUUUUUUUUUACAGUACAAGAUAACAAAACAGCUUUAUAGGAGAGUUUUCUGCUUUGCCUCAAGCUGCCUGAUGUAAGGCUGCCUCUAGCAAACUGUAGGAACCUGAUACAUCACAGCCUAUGUGCUGGCAAACAUUUCACUACAGGUCAGGAUGACAGAUGUGUGAUGUUGAGUUCUUUUUUUUUGCAAGAAAAGCAAAACUUUCUAGCUUUUCCUUACUCGCAGAGAGUCUGCUUAAUCCAGAAAGUAAUCUGCCUCUGUGCAGUACAUGGCCUCCAGUUUGUUUUGCAGCCUCCAACCAUUUGAACUUCCUCCUGGUUUUUUUAAGUGACUUAAAACUUUUAACUAUCAUAUCUGUAACAAGAAGACAAAACAGGGUAUUUAUUGCAAUAAUGCAACACUUUUGGUCACAUUUAUGUCAGUAGUUAGCAGUGGUUCCAGGGAUUUCAGCAUUAUAAAUCAUUGUUAAAGAGGAUUUGGGUAGAAGGAACAAUGAGACCUUUUGUAUCAGCUGAAAAUUUCACCUGAGGGUCUGCAGAUCUUACAUGAAUCCUCAAUUCUGGUCACAAUUGUGGUAGCACACAGCAAUUACUACCAUUAAGUAUUUUGAUUAAGUUUUUAUAGUUUAAAUCCUCUUAUAUUAAGCCUUGGUACAUUGGCGCACAAGCAUGUAUGACAAAAUUACACUCGCCGUGGGUCCGAAGCUCCUGGUGCUUAUUUUGUGCCUGUAAUUGAAAUAUAUGACUGCCCAUAUAUUUUUAGAUUUAUUGACUCUCCUGUUAUAGCUGCAGCAAGACCUUGAUCUCCUCAGUGUCAUCUCUCAUUACUCUCAGCCAGCUCCGUGAGGGAAGAUGGUGGUGGUGUUGUCUUCCUCACCCUUCCAGUCGUUAGGAGAACGAGCGUUCAGAGAAAUGUCACUCCCAGUGAGGUCUUAAUUAACACACUCAAUCAUGGUGACACUGCUGCAGCCAACAUGGAGGCAUGAGGAACCAUUUAGUUAUUAAACGAAGCACAUACCAAGACACUUAAUAUGUGUCUUUUCAUUCGAAUUACAUGUCAGUUCUUGCUAUUGCAAUUUGUGGUUAAUUUCCAGACUGAAUCUAGUAAGUGGGUGAAGUGACCUUGAUGUCAACUCGGGUCUUCAGACUAAAGUAAUCAAGCGUCUCUCUCCAUCUUGUUUUCUAGAAUCCAGAGGUGACCAGUCUUUAGGAAUACUGGACUAUAGUACAAACAACUUUACUGUGAAAACUGACCCUCCUGCUUAUGAAUCUGUUGUACCCUGUAGGAAAAAAUCGGAAUUGUGUCAAAAACUAGUUGCCUUGAGGAAAAGAAAAUCCUAUUAUACAAGCUAGCAAGUUGAUGUGACAUGUUUCUCCCUGCAGAGAUGGUUCUGGGUCAGUAAAGCUGAAAAAGCAGCCUGAAUUCUCCAGUGCGGGAUGAAAUAAGACUGAGAUCGCAGCGGUGUUUAACCUUGCAAAGCAGAUGGGCUGGCCAGAUUCCAUGUCUGUCAUCAGGCAGGUCUAUCUUGCAGAGCCUCAAGCUGAUAUGCCUGCUCCUGGUCAAAGGAUGACCGGACCAAUCAGUGUCAUUUGAGGAGAAAGAUGUGGUAGCUGCUGGCAUGAGGGAAGAAGUGGCUGCAGACUUGAAGAAUGGAGAGUGAAAAGUUAUUGGGGAAAACAAAUAGUGAGAUAACAAUGUAGUUGUAUAAUUCUAUGUUAGAGGAUUGUCUUUGCGCUGAUGUACGGUUGAAGCUUACAGCUAAGAUAAAGGACUAGUGCCUAUCACAUAUGAAGAAGUGACCUUUCUGCUUGCACCUUGUCCUUUGGUGUUUGUUUACAGUCAGAAUGAGCGGACUGCUCAAAAAUUUUAAAAUGUUGACUACACAGACAUAACAAAACACAGUGAUAAAGUGAUAUUUCCAAAUGUCAUCAAUAGCUAAUAGCUAUUGACUGAUAUUAAAAGCUUUUUUGUAUAUACCCCAAGAACAAAGAUGUAGACCUGUCUACCCCACCUUUUAAGGGUGUUUUUGCAUGUUGGAGGCUAAAAUCAAUUAACUGUAUUGGUUUUAAUAAGAAAUAGGUGCUAACAAAGCAGAAAAACACUAUUGGUGGACAAUGAGGCUCUAUCAUCUAUGUUACUGUGUUUGGAACCAUAGUUACCAAAGUGAUCACUAUACUACAAUAAACAGACUUGUAUCUAGAGGAUUAAGGCGUAACCUUGCUGGAAUAAUGUUUAUACAGUCUGUGGUGCACUGGCAGGGCAGAUCAGAAGUGCAUUUGUUGUGUGACCAAAAUAUCUUCCCAGAGAAAUCAACAUUUGUAACCCACUUUGCACAUUUCUUGACUCUGACUGUAACUCCUCUAAUGCUGUCAGCUUCUUAAAACGGUUCGGUUCACCUCCGAGGCUGAAGGCAGGAAAAGAUGCAUCAAACGAAGGCCACUGAGUCUCAUUCACUCUCCACUCAGAGAGUAAAAAUCGUGGCCUGACUUUGGUUGUUGGUGUGAAGAUGCUUUUUGUACCUCCAUCAUAAAAAAUGAUCUCCCUCUCCACCGUCCCUGCUGCCUCUUUUUCUCCUUCCCUCCUCUCGGGAAUUCAAUGAGACAGGAGAGAUAGAUGUUCGAAGAGGCCACAGGAGUGAUUCGUAUCCCUUUUUAUGGAGUAAAUGGAUUGAUGUUGUGUCACAGCGAGUCAUUUAGUAUCAGAAGGCCUAUUGUGCUGCUUAUGGCGUGUUAUCAAUCACACAUGUAGUAUUGAUUCUAAAUAGUAAAGUCUUUCUCAUCUUCUUGUAUGACUGUGAGAUAACCCAUCACCUUGUCUCUUUGACUUGUUUCAACUAGUUUUCGCAAGUAAGUCAUAUGCAUUGUCAGCAUUACUUUACUGGAUAUAAUGCAGACAUAAAGUUGCCUUAAAUCCUUUAUAUUAUAACAGUCUCAGUCUAUACAUGGAAAGUCUGGCACAUAUUAAGUUUUCUAAAAUCUUGGCUUAUACUUGUAACUCUUGCAUUCCUUUGGUUCCCCCCCACACAACAGGGUUUCUGAUCAUUAAUACUAAACAUGUUAUUGAUGAUACUGAACAUUUUAAGUGUGGACCAACUGAUCACACACAUAUACACCCAAAGCCUGCCUUGACUCAGACAAAAUCAAAGAAAUUGCACUCGGCCCCAAACACCUCGGCAGUCCAUGUUUUUGAAGGUAUCAUUGCCCAAGAUAGCAUCACUCUUGCAUCCAGCACCACUGUCAGAAAUAUGAAUUUUAUAUUUGUUUGAACACAACUCCCACUAUAAGAUAAUAUUUUACCUGCAAAAAUCAGACAACUCUUUCCUAAUAACAAUGGAGGAGAAGUGGCCCAUGCUAAUUUAAUUGUUGCAGUUUGAAGUGAAAGAUAAUAUUUCUCCUUGCACAAGAUGGCUGUCUGUCACUCAGUCUGGUUCUGUUCAGGGUCUCUGUCUAUUAUUAAAGGGAUGUUUUUCCUACUACUGUCAUCAAGAGCGUGCUAAUAUAAGUAAUUAUACUUAAGGGUGUGGUCUGCUUGCUUUGUAAGAAAAUCCCUCUCGUGUUUUGAGCCACAUACAUAUAAUAAUAUAUUUUUUCCAUCAAGUCUGGACCAUUAGCUAUAGAAACAAACAGCGGGAGAGUUUAUAUCUGGCUGAUAAUCUCACUUUAGAUUCAGUGUGACAAAGAUAAAUAAAUCUCUGGAUACUUAGGGCAAACAGGACCUCUGACAGCCUAUAAAUGCAUUAUUUGUCACUUCUUUUCUGCAGGGCCCCCUCAUUAAAUGUUUUAUUCAGCCAUGCCAAUUACUGCAGACAACCCUGUUAGGGGACCUACUGCUAAUGAAGUCCUAAUCUACACUGUCUGCAUCAGAUAUCAGAAAAGUUUUCAUUUCCCCCUCUGCUUGUUUCUCUCCAAACUUCCUGGGUCAGUUUAAUGAUACGGUGGCAGAAUUUAAAAUUUAGUUGUUGUUUUUUUUUUUUUUUUUUUGAGAUUCGUUUGGAUGCAGACAAAAUGAGGAAACUGCACCCACAGCUCCAGAGUUGUUGUUUAUGAUUUAAUUUUCAAUAAUUCCAAGGUAGAGCAUAUUCCAUGGCCUCUGGCUUUCGAGGGCGCGUCACACUCUGAGAGAAAAACUAAUAAAGGCCAGCUUUAUGUCCUGUGAAAUUAAAUCCAACUUAUUGCCGUAUAUUUUUUUGUCCAUUUGUUCUGCAGUUUCCCUUGCUACCUCGUCCCCUAAAAUACAGACAUAUCACGAAACACCUUUACACUUCUUUAUCUGCUGUGCAUAGUUCGCUUUAUGCUACAUGCAGUGGUGUGAGAAACUGCAAAGUGGAGAGCAGUUGAUGUUACGGUGUGGUAGUAGUGUGUUGAUUUAUGGGUGCACACCAGGUUUUAGUGGAAACGCAUCAGCUGUAAGAUAUUUGUUGUACCCCCGCUGUUGUGAGAGUCCUCGUUAGCUUAGGAAGUAAGUAAUCAGAUGGCUGUCUCUGCGCUCUAACAAACCGCCUCCAGCAGCUUUCUCCAUCCCUUUUCUCUCUUUCGCUUCAAUUCUCAAAGAGUCCUUGACACUGUGGAUACAGGAUGAGCUGCUAAAAGUCUGGUCUGGAUCUCUUCCCCCCCCCCGACUUGUCUCUCUCUCUCCAGAUUCCAUUUCCUUUCCUGUGCUGCAAUAGAAAAAAAGUCUGGUCUAGUAAAUAAAAUGUCUCAAAUAACAUCCGAUUAGACCAUGCCAUCUCUCUUUUUUCUGGUACGUGUGAAAAAAAAGAGUCUUGUCUGUGUCAGUCUCUAUGGAUCCAUUUGGCUCCUUGUGCUCUUCAGUCUAGUCUGAAUAUGAUUAGCUCAGACUGCAACAGUCAUGUCAAGAAAAAAAUUAUUGAGAGAGAACUGCAAGGAAAAAUUGAAGGUGUUACCACUGUGGCUCUUAAAGGGAUAUUCUGUAGUAAAAUUAAUUUUGGGUCAAACACACUGUAACACCAAGUUAGACUCUCCGUGGAGAGAUGAAUGUUGCCGACCGCUUGCUUCUCUAGUUAUACCAACUUUAGUAAUAGCCACAGAUAGCAAUACAGAGAGCCAUGCGCUCAACCAAAACGCCACUUUAUAGCCACAAAUAAUGCUCAGAACAGCACCUAACUCCAUCAACAGUACAUAUAGGGUCCCAACCACAGCACUGGCCACCAAACAUCUUUUUAACUUUGCCUGAUUUCUUUAGCAGAGAGACUAAACACAACUCACCUACUCUCUUCCAGCAGCUGCUUCUUUGUACAGAGAUGUUACGGUAAUUUUCGUGUCAGUUCAGUCCCUCUUUAUGCUGUCAUGUCUCUUGAACACAUUUGUGCACACUGAGUUUGGGUAAGUUUCCACAAGCACUUAUCCAAGGUUACUCAUGUUGACCCGUUUUAAAACUCUACAGUUCACAUUGGGUGUGAACUGUGAAGUACAAUGUACAGUGUCAUCACUGUUCUUGUUAACUGGUGAAUCCUCAUCCUGCUGCAGAGCUCUCUAUAUUUGGGUCUGUAUGUGUGGGUUGGCUGCAUUUUUAAUUAGAUUUAAUAAUAGUUAUUUCCCACCAGCAUCUACAGGGUAGUCAAAUCUGGAAGACAUUCUCAUGCAUUUAAAGUUUGAGCAAGUUUUAUAUGCACCCAUUACUAGUUCAUUAGUUGACUUUACAAAAUGGAAAAACAUCCAUUAAAUUUACUAAUAAAUUUUUAAGACCCCUCAGGUUGGUCCAGUCCACAGCAGAAUAGAUCUCUGUGUUUAUCUGAAGCAGACACUAAUGACUUAUGGAGAGUUCAAUGACUCUUUUUCACAGUGUUUAUGUUUUCUGUAUCAUAAAUGUUCUUCCUUGAUCUGCGUCACCCUGCAGCAGUCCGUAAUGGAUUGGCUCAUGGUCUCGCUAUAAACAUGCGGUUGCUGGAAGAGAGUGGGUGAGUUGUGUUUGGUCUCUUUGCCAAAGAAAUUAGGCAAAGUUAAAAAGAUGUUUGAUGGCUAGUGCUGUGACUGGGACCCUACAUGUACUGUUGAUGAAGUUAGGUGCUGUUCUGAGCAUUAUUUGUGGCUAUAGAGUGGCUCUUUGGUUGAGGUUUGUGUGUGGUUCCAUGGACCACUGUGUGUUGCUAUCGUGUGGUCGUUACUAAAGUUGGUAUAACUAGAGAAGCAAGCGGUCUGCAACAUUCAUCUCUUGAGGUGGUGUCUCACUCGGUGUUAUGGUGUGUUUGACCCUAAAUUAAUUUUAUGCCGGAAUAUCCCUUUAAGCCACAUAUGGGAAACCAGCAUGCUGAUAACAUUAAGGAUGAUGUGUUUGUUGCAUUGAGUCUCGGUACAAGUGCUGGUAUAUUUAAAUAAAAAUCAUGGUGAUAUUUUGUAAAGACACAUCUGGUUUAUGUGUCACAGACGUAGAUAUUUUCUCACUCUCUAACUUGCUGAAGUUAAAGAUUUGACAGCACAGACAGAGUCAGAGAAAGUUCAAACCAGGGUGCCUUUUACCACCAGCAGCUACAGCGAAGCUGAACGCAUCAACUUGCAAGACAUCGGAGCCAUCAUGAGUGCAACUUUUUGUAAAUUUGAUCAUCUGCUGUCAAACAUGGAAAUGGUAAAUCCUCAAAUCAGAAGAUCCUAGAGGGAGCGCUCUCUUUUUCUCCCUCGUUCUCUCAGCUCUGCACUCUGAUCUGACGUGUUAUUCCUAAGACAACAUCUUGUUAAGCUGCUCCAAGAGAACAAAAACCUAAGCAGGGUCUCUGUGGUGAUAAAACUCCAGCGAUGAUACCUUUACUGUUGCUUACAUCGGGGCCUUUGAAGUUGACCACAUGUGAUGAAUAAUGCAUAAAGUCUUCACUGCCUCCUCCAAAGACAAUAUUACCUUUGGCAAACUUCCUCUGACUUCCUCCUCCCAGAGGACAGAUACGAGAAGUUUUACUCUUUCUCUGCAAGUACAGCAGCACAAUUAUUCCUGGAAACUCUUUCGUGUAGCUGAGGAUCAAAAGUUUUUCUUCUUUAAUUUGAGCGGUUUUAACCCCCCACGCUCUCUGGAGCCUUUGCCAAUCCUCAAACGCAACUUGUGAAUUAUACUGAUUACACUACUCUUGCAGGAGACUGGAAACAAUCUCAGUGGCAAAAAGACCGUGGUGAUCAAACACCUUGUCACUCUCAGGAGUCUGAACUGCACACCGUCGUGAGCACUGAGAGUUGAGGACCUUAUAUCACACUCUUUGAACCAAUAACUUCAACUUUAUUGAGCUUCUUUCACUAAGAAAUAAAGGAAAAAAAGCUGAUUCAUCCGAUUUCUGCAACACAGCUAAUUAGAGCUUUUCUUUUGAAGUCUGAAAUAAAAAUAUCUCACCAUCAGUCAGUUUUUAAGACACAAACAUGAUGGGAAAUCUGUUUCAUUUCCUCUCCUUAUUUCCUGAUUUGCAUAAAAUUGGACAGCUCCUCUACAUCAUUCCCCUUGCAUCAUUACUACAAUUCCCAUUAUGCCGCUCUGGCAUUAUUAAUUGCUGCGAGUUUGUUUACUCAGCUCAUCUAAACAACCCGACUAACAAGCUUGAGUCUGUGAUGUUCAAAUUUGUUGCCCUUCAUGGCUAAUUCUGCUGCCUUUGAUAGCAGAUACCAUUAACACUGUCAUUGUGUCCCCUCUCAGUGUGAAGUGGGCAUGAGUGUGCAUGUGUGCCCAUUGAGAUAUGAGUGUGUGUUGUGGUGUGUGUACUGCCAGUCUGGCUUUGCUGUCUGCAAUUACUCCCUUCAGUGGAAACAUUAAAACUCUACUACCAUGGAAAGCUGCCACGACUGGGACAUUCAUGCCUGUACCCGAGUACGACAAAGACCCUGCAGUGGGCUGGAUUUGCCACUUAUGCAUGUUUCAGUCAGCCAGUAGAUGCCAAGACUGGAAUGACUGCUCCAGACUGAAUGAAUGGUGCAGUAAUGCCCUGACUGCAGAUUUUGGGUUUGUGUACUCAGGAACGUCCCAGUUUAAGAGCCCCUUCAGAUAAGGAGCACAUGGGAGGCUCAUUGAGAUCAGCUCUGAGAUGAGCAGGCUGUAAAUAUUCAAAUGUUGUUGUCUCAGAGCCACAGAGGGUCCAUUAAAAGGGGCUGCAUUCUGCAGAAAGAAAACAACUUUCUUUGUCAGGGAAAAGUGCUAACAACACAACUAUUUGUAUAAGCACGCCGCAAAAGGAAUUUACAUCUGCACUGAUUCUUCAUAGUUGCAUAUUUAGGUCUGUUUGGGCAUCAGUAAUUUCAGUGAGAGAUAACUGGAGAGGAGGCUAUCCCCUGAAUCUGACCCUGAUACCUGCAACACUUUUAUUUCUGCACAGCAGCCUCUUCUGCUCAAGCGGCAGCCUCUCGUCUUGAAGCCAAUGGGGAAGUGUUAAAACCUCCCCAGAGUGCCUGCUUGAAACUGGCUGCAGAAGCACCUGAAACCAUGUAAGCCAAAAAAGCCAGUUUUAGAGUGAAGAUAACCACAUUUACAGCCUGGUUCAAUAACCAGUUUUGGUUUGGAUAGCUCAGGGCCCCAUGAUACGAAGGUUACAAGAUCAGCGAAUUAGAGGCAUGACUGACCUGAAUGACAGGCAGGCACACGAUAGAUUCAAGAUUCAGGAUUUGUUUAAGUUGGUGGGAUAAAUGAGGUAUGAGAAUUUCCAUAUUGCACAUGAUAAAUAAUGGUGUAAGAAUUGCUGUAUUGCACAUGUAUUGCAUAUCACAGAUAAUAUUGCACAGUUCAGUGGGUUAUUGCACAGAGUAUUGUCUAGUGGUACUGUCAGGAGUUUAGUAAACAAACUGAGUUGCGGUAGGUAGUUGCAAGGAGCUGAAGGCCCGCCUAUGGUAGGUUGAUUGGCUAGGUGAUUCCGCUGUCGGGGUGUCUGCGGCUGGCCAGCUGAUGUUAGCCGCCGCUGCCACCAGGGUGUCUGCUUUGAAAACUCCUCAGUGUCAGUGAAAACUUGGGUGAAAUAUCCGUUACCACGUUGCUUCUUCUCUGCUAUGACGAGUGAUGAGUUUUCUAAAAAUCCUCUCAGUGCAGCAGACAACACAACUACAUUUAAGUACAUAUAAUCAUGAUUAAAUUGAUAUUUAGCGCCUUCACGUCUUGGUUACAGCAUGUUGGUGUGUGACUGAAAAGCGCUGACAUGCACAAGUACUGUGGAAUAAUUGAUAAUGAAAAGGUACACAAUUAUGUGUUAUUAUUGCUACAGAUUGUCCCUGAGGCAGUAAGAGACUCAGAGGUAAGGGUUUAGUCUUAUGACUCAGUGUUUCAUCACACCCUCAUGGCUGUUUGUGCAUGUGAACCAGUCAGCAGAAUGCUAAGCUGAAAUUUGCCAUUUAUACCUUUAUUCUGUACAGCCAUUAGAGCUGCAGAUUACAGCAAUACUACACUGUGGGUCUGUUCCAGUAGAUUCAGCAAUAUGAUGCUUUCAACCUAUAAUGAGAAAGUAGUUUAAAUAGUUCUGAGAUUUUCAAAUCUCUGAAGAACCUUCUUUGUACUCGAGUCUUCCUUUUACUUUUACAGAAACCUCUGCAAACCUCCUUUACUCAUGUCUGUGUGCCUUCAUCCCUCUUUUUUGCAGGAUUUAUAGAUGAAUGGAUUAGAGAUUAAAUCUGAACUUGUUUCCUUCAGUAAACUGUAGUUUCUAAGUCUGUUUAGAUCCUCUUCCUGUCUCUGGCAUUUCCAGUACAGUCUUAAUAAGCUUCAGCAGCUCUGUAGAAAAACACAGGCCAGGAAAUUUAUCGACAUUGAUACAGUGUGUCUGAAGUCAAUAUACCUCUUUCAGUUUCCAGGCAGUAUUUUCUCUCAGCAGAACUCCACAUCGUCUAUUACACCCAUUAGAACAAGAUGUUACCAACAUAAAGACGAGCGGACAGAUUUACAACCAGUUAUAUGAACUGUUGGUUUUCUCCUCAAUCUAAAAGCUGAAGUAAAGGAUUCUUGCUAUUUCGUUUAUGGCCUAACAAUAUAACACGGCCUCCUAAAAGCUGAGAGGAGCGUUUAAAAAGACAGUGAUUGCCUGCACGGUCAUCUGUGUGCUUUUCUCAUGUGGUCACGGUGGCUAACUCUGCUCUCAAACUCUGUCCUGAACACUUUGUCUGCCCCCGUAUCACAAUUAUGGAAUCUAUCAACAAAGAGGGCCGCUGUGAUGAAACCGUCUCAGUUUCAAUUUAUGUUUUCCUCUAAACCUUUAGUCCCAUUUCACAGGGACGGAAGUGUCAGUGACAGAGGAGGGAUCUAUCCACCUCAGAGUGUAAUUUCCGCUUUGUUGUGAAGCAUCUCCAGUCAGAGAUCCUUAAUUAGGCUUCUCCUCUGUUAUAGUGAUGAUGAUUCUGUGUAUUCAGAUAAUGGGAAGCAUUCUUUGUCUAUUCCCACUGAAACUAGAUAUUAGAAGUGACACGGACACAAACACAGGGGACUGUGCAGUGAUUGUUUUUCAUUUUUAUUCCCUAUCAAAGUUGAUAAAACAGCCUACAGACUUAAACACACAAUGAAAUAUCUGUCUUCAUCGGUUUACUUUCGUGUGUCCUAAAACAACAGAUGUUCCGUGAGCUUAAGGACAUUGCAGUAAAUAAUUCACCAUAUUUGUGUUGUGCUCAGUGGAGGAGGCAACCCAGCCAAUUGUGUGAAUAAUGCGACUUCUGUACGUCAAACCACUUAAUGUACCUUUUCUUACUGUCUGAAAACAAAGUAGGUGAACACCUUCGCCUAACGAAAAUGUCAUGACUAAUAUCGACUGUGUUAUUGCAGACUGUUCAUCAUGGAUCCGGUUCUGCCCAAGGUGUCUACCUGUCAAAAAAAGCUUUUCUUUGCCACAGUUGUGAAAGUUUGCCUCAAGUUUUUGGAGGGUGGGUGUAUGUUGUGUCUUUGUUACCAACAGCAAAGAUGAAUUUACACUUCGCAGGAGAAGCGUUAAUAAACAAACUCAACAGCAGCUUGGUAGCCUGCCAUUGAUGUUCGUGUCCUCCUACUCACACAUUACUGGGAACAUUGGGUGUGCGAAUGGAGCUGUGGCGCAAAUGUUUUCACAGGAAAUCCAUAUUGCAGGUUUACAUGUUGACAGAGUAAGUGGUGAUUUCAAAAGAUAUCCGUCUGGAACCUGGUUCCAAAAGUUUGUGUUUUUAGCCACCUUGUUUAUGCGGUUUCUCAUGAAGAAACAACCAAAACAUAACAAUAGAUUACUUACUCCCAUAAGCCUCAGACAAGGAAACAGAACCAGUAAAGGGGGGUGGUGAUAGUGGUGGUGGUCCUGAGUCAUAAAAGAUUAGGUGGUCAACUUGCAAGGUUAUAAUAUCAUUUUGUGUUGUUGGCUGCUGUUGCUGGAUAUUAUAGUUAUAUAUUCAGUGACAUUGUUGCUAUAGAACAUCAGUUCUGCUCCUAUUAACUGUGACUCAUACUUUAAAGGUUUUAAAGUAAGGAGCUUUGAACUGGUGGAGAAACUGACUGAAACUGAUAAUAAUGCCUUUCUACAACCUUUAAGAGCAGCCGAGACCAUCAGCAAUAAGGUUGAAACUUUUUCUGAGUAAUUUUGGUGUCUGAAAAUGCUGCGAGAGGGAACGAUUUAACAACAUAAUUGCAGCUGAUAAAUCUGUUUUUUUGAAUGUUUCUUUGUGACAAAUACAAUGAGUGAUAGAUUUUACUGUCAAAAGACAACAGCAGUAUAGCAGACUGAUGAUCUCUUUAAACACAGAGGUUGUAGAGCGAAAAACUUGUUUGGUAUUUAUAUUAUGAGGAUGAAGCACUCGUGAGUUUAUUCCAGAAAUGAUAAACACAACAGUCAUGAUGUCAAAUAAAAACUCCUUUAGCUGUGCUGCAUAAUGUGAUGUAAUUAUACGGAUGCUAGGUGUGCUAUCAAAUCACUCUCUGUGUGUUUCAAUGAUGCACAAACACUAAUCAAGCCAACAAGAAGCACAUGCUUCAAGGCUCUUUAUUCACAGUGAAUGCACUCCUCAACUAAUUUCAUCAUGUGCUGUGUUUGUCUGCUAUCAAUAUAUUUGCCAGAAAUGCUACGGAGAUUCAUUAACAGCACUGUUCAUGGAGCCAAACCCUUCAGUCAUAAACUCAGGUAACUGACAGGCACACAUCCGCCUUGUCAGUGCUCUGCCUUUGAUUAUGUAUUCAUCCUUUUGAGAUGAAGGCAGAGGCAGUUGGGAUUUCAGGGUGUUUCCUUUGAUUUAACGUGGCGUGUGAUCCUGAACUAUCAUUAUGAUAUAUUAUGGUGCUUUCUGUCAUUUCAUGAGCCAUAGAUUUGUAUGUGUGAAGUAUUGCAGACAAUAGCCAUGGCUUCAGUGACUGCAUCCCAUAUAACAGUGGGCUGAUUGCUUGCUGUGAUUGAAAAUGCCCCCUUACAACAGAGACAGGGUGAAAAUUGCAAUCUCCAUGUAUACAGCCUACACAUCUAUAUCAAUCAAGGAGCACAGCUGCUCUCAACGCUGAGAUAUAUUCAUAUCCAGUUUGUGCAAGCACCACCUACCCUGAGAUUGAUUCAUCUGAGGAGGACAGUAGGAGGAAGAUAUAAAGAUUGGAAUUAUGUUAAAAAUGCAUUAGGUUCAAAGAGCAGGUAAUUGUAACUGUAGAUUAACACAUUUAUUCCUCUCAAAUCUUUGUAGGGACACAGUACAACAAUGCAAGACAGCUGAAAAUCAGUUCACGUAAAGUAUUAUUCAUAACUCAAAUAAUGCAUUGAAAUGUGAUACAGAUUUUUUUUUCUAAGCUUAGCUGAAUGGAAGGAGCAGCAGAUUUUUAAAAAAAUUGCUGUUUAAGUUUCAUGUUAAAAAGUCAAAAUUCUUAAAAAGAAAUUUGUGAUUUUUUUUUUAAAGAAAUAACUUAACAAAACUUUUUUUUUUUUUUUUUUCCGCAUAUUAGGGCUUUGGACUGCAGCAAAGAAGUCCAAAUUUUGUGCUCACAAAAGGUAAGCACACAAUACAAGACACACAAUACAUAUAAUACUGACACACCCCUUUACUGGUUCAAAUCUUAUCCUUCAGGCUACUGCUCAGUUCAUCCAACUCAAAACCUUCAAAUACAAGCUUUUUCCUGUUACAGUGUUCCACAGGGUUCUUUCCUGGGGCCUUUUCUGUUUAAUAUCUUUGUACUUCCCCUUAGCCAUCUUUAUGUAAAUUAAACACCCAAUUUUCUUGGUAUGUGGAUGACACACAGCUUUACCUGUCCACCAAACUUACCUCAUCCCUUCCACCCUCUUCCCUGUCUGAUUGCGUUAAGGCAAUCACAAGCACAAUUGGAUAAAAUGUCUUAUUUUUUAUUGCUAUUAAUAUUAUUAAGAUAAUCAGGCAGAUUUUUUCUACCUUUUAAUACAAACCAGCAAAGUCCCUUUUUUCUUAGGGUUUUCAAGAUCUAAUCAGAUAUUCAUGUGGAGCAAGGUGUGUUGAGACCACUGUGUGACUGUGCUGUUUACUUUCCCCCAAUCUCUUAGGAAGACCCUACUGAUUUGAAAAUAUGAAUAUUAAACAUUUUCAAUAUUUAUGAUCAGAAAUUCUCAUGUGUGCGGGGAACCCUGAGGACAGCCGAGCUCUCAGCCUUUGGAUUAAAACAAUAUUCAAUCAGGAAGCAAGCUGACAGCAGAGAGAAGCUCAACAGACACAGCAGUAGCAACAGUAUGGGGCUCUGUUUGUCUCUGUGUUUGAGCGUGGAGUGCAUUACUCCACACUUAACAAACUAAAGGCCAGUCAGAGCUGCAAAGCCUGUGGCGUACAGGAGUAGGUGUGUGCUGCUGCUGCUGGAGAGUAAACAGUUAGAGAGACAGCAAUUGUCAUGUCAUUAUGCAAUUUUUGAUGUGUAUCAGCUCGAUGCUUUGCAAGAUGGAUCCUCCUGAUGACAGACAUGGAAUCUGGCCAAUCCAUCUGCUUUGCAAGGUUACAGUCAUAAGCCAUGACUGGAAAAUUCUGGCUAGUAGGAGGUGUCUCGCACUUGCUCAGUUCCUGGAAAGAGAUGAGCUGCUGUAUAUUUUCAGAUGCCUGUGAAAUUGUCAGAUUUGGGGUGUUACGGAUCAUCUCUAAUAUUGAACGCAAAGCUUGAUAACAAUGUCAACUUUAACCUGAAGUCUUAGCAGAAGAGCCCGUGUUUGCUGAGAAUGAGUGUGCGGUAUAUGGGUUUAGGGGGGCGGUGCUGGUUCUAUAAUCAUCUUUCUUUCAGACAGGAAAUGUAAUAUUGAAUGUUUUGAUUCAGUGUCUGAGGCCGGUAAAAAUGAGUACACAAUACAUUUGGCUUGGAAAUGCCUGCUGCUCUGUCUCUCCACCAUCCAGCAAUGAGCAGAAGAUGAAAUGAUUCAUCACAGCAGAGACAGCUUCAACACAAUGAGAUGUGAUGAGAGGGAAAAUGGUGUCGUUUUAUAUCUCCCUGAGAUCUACACAUAGCAAAGAUGAAUAGAAGCUUCUUGAGGCCAAUAGGAUACCACCGGCACAGAAUCUGGCAGCGUCCCACAGGUGUGAUGUUUUUAUGAUAUCUUUCCAGCUCCUGGAUUUAAAGAGGCAAUCAUCUGCUGAUGUCGCUCUCUCAUCUGUACGGUGUUGACAAACUGAAGGUCAGAGGUAGAACUGGUCUAAAUUUGUGAAAGUCAUACAGUCCCACAAGUGAGUCUUAGUAUAGGCUAUCAGUCAAGGUUAAAAAUCCACAAUUGCCUUUGUCCAGAUGAAACUGGACUUUUAAAAAAACAUGUAAACACAUAAGUCUAGCUGGAAUCACAUGAAAUCAAAUUUGUCAUAGUCUGACUAACAUACCCAGAUAAUGCAGUUAGGGGAUCCCUCCUCAAACAGACUGCACUGGCUCAAUUGUUGUGCACCUGCUCCACUGUUUACAUGCCAGGCUGUGAGUCAGUAGUACAGCACAAAUGAGUUGCUAGGGAGUGUUAAGGAUGUCAAAAAGACAAAACUUUCUCAUUCUACAAACAAAUGGUACAGAAAUGUUGAAAAUGACUGUUUUCAUAUUUCAAUUUAUAUGCUAUUUGCCAUUUGGUAAUGCGUUUUGUUGAUUGUUUUGAUAAGUAAUCAAUCAUAAGGUCAACCGGGAGAUGACCCAAUAGUAUCAAGUCUAAAGAGGGCACGUCACUACCUAUUGUAGCAGAUGUGGACAUGCUCUUGUCAGUAUCUAGUUUUACCUAAUCUAGUUCUAACUGAAGCUAGAUUUAACUGCAUCUAAAUGUACUGAUUAACAAAACCACAUAUGGCCAGGUUCAAGGGGGGAUAUUAUGCUUUUCCACAUUUACAACAAAAACUGCAAGUUACAAUGUUUGGUGUCCAUACUAGAUUUAUGCAAAGUUUUAAAUCAGGAGGUAAAUGCAUGUUGUAGUAAUCUUGAUGUUAUAGUGGAUUACAUGCCCCAACCUUCAGUGUCAGAAUGUGAAGGUUUGUAUGUGAGUAAACAGAAACAACUGUUACUGGCUGUGUCCAUACAGCAAAACCGCAAUACUGGAAUUAUAGAUCAUGAUAAAGUAUUUUCUUUCAUCAAGUGUUCUCAAUUCAGGGAAAAUUUCUGCAAUAUUUAAAUUGGCACAUGACACCUUUAUAAUGAGUCCACUGCUACUUUUCAUUCAUUCAAUCAACCUAAUUGCACUCAGGACAUUUCAGGGGACUAAAAAGGUGAUGCCAUGUUUAAUCUCUUAUCAGCUUGUUGCAGCUGUGUUUGUUCUUCUUCACUCCAUGUUAUAGCGGAUUACAUGCCCCAACCUUCAGUGUCAGAAUGUGAAGGUUUGUGAGUAAACAGAAACAAGUGUUACUGGCUGUGUCCAUACAGCAAAACCGCAAUACUGGAAUUAUAGAUCAUGAUGAAGUAUUUUCUUUAUCAGGCCAAAUACAGAUUACAUUGUCCAACUUUAAAUACCCACUCUGAUGAAAAUCCAGUUUUUCUUGUUUUCUUUUUACAUGUAACUGAUACAGUAACUUUACAUUUCUGAUGCUACAGGAUAUAUCAUGAGAAAAAGUGUGAAAUUGCAUCUCUGAGCAAUUCAAAUUGCUGUGAAUCUCUGGCAGACCCAACCGGUAGACUCAGACACAGUGGGAUUUCCUAUGUCACAAUUCCAAGCUCCGCCCCCGGAGCCUUGCCAUGCAGACCAGACUCAGAGAAAAAGAGCAGACAAUCACGGAACAAGCGUCUGUGUUUAGCAGAUUGCAAUGCUUGUAGGAAAGCUAAUUAUAUUAACUUUUAUCAUGCCCCCAAAGACAAUAGUGUCCGAGAGCUGAAUAGCUCCUAUGUACCUGCUACUUCUACUACACUGGCAAUGUUAGGCUGCAAACUAGCUUGAAGGGGAAUGUGCAGAGCAGCGCUGUCUCCGCCCACGACUCAGAGGCGAAGAGCUGAUGAGCUAUUGGAGCUCUGCAGAAGAAAAGCCCUUGAAAAUGACACAGGUAACGUGAUUUUGGCUAAAAACUUAAUAAUCACAAUUUAAAGACCACUGAGAACACUUUAAGUAGUAAAAAAAAAGAGACCAAUCAGAGUGGGACUUUAAGGCUUAGCAGAACUAAAAUGAAUGAGUUACAUCAAUUAAACCCAAGGCAGAGAAAAUCUGGUUAUAGACUGUUCCUUGUAUCACACUGUAAACAUAUUGAACCCUGCAGGUAGGUGGUAAUAUGAGGCCUACUGAAGGCUAACACACUUUCAGAGCCAUGUGGCGACUUAAAGAACUACAGUUCUGGUUACAUCUGAAUUGGCUUCACUCGUGAGUCUGGGUGUGAUAUGCUAUUUCAUUAUGGAACCAACUUUUUUUUUAUUUUUUUAAAGCUUGAAAUCUUUUGCAAUUACACAGUGAAAUAAUAAAUCUAAUAUGAAGGCUGCAGGCAUCAGCCACAACAUCCCGGAGUGGCUGUUAUUAAUUUUCUGUAUGAUCUUGAUCCAUUUGUGUCUAAUGAAACAAAAUCACAGCCUCUCAUAAUGAAUUGAAAAGAGGGGUGCUCACAUUGUUUUGAUCCCAGAAACAAAGGGAUAAAUUUCACAUGAACCAGACUGAAUUGCGGAAGACGCCCUCUGGUCUUUUCCAUUCAUAAAGGCUUUCCUGAAAUAUUUAAUUUCCAUGCAUGUGUGUCUUUGAGAGGAUUUUGGUUAGCUGCAUUUAGAAGGCUAAAGCCAUAAUAAUUACUUAACUAAUUUGCAGCAUUUGUGCUAAACCGAUAAGACGCCGUCUUUCAUGGGAUUCAGAAGCUGCCAUCAAUAAUGUGACUGCUUGGGGUAAAAAGUGAUUUAAAGCCCAUUUCACACUCGGCUUCAGAAAGAGAGUGAUGGCUGGGCAUUCUCUGAUCCUCACAGCUGCCAUCAUGACCACGUCCUCUCCACAAGCUCUGCAUUUAAUUCUCAAAAAUAACACUGAAGUCGGAGGAAAUGUCUGCCUCUUAAAGUUCUCUCCUUCCGACUUUUAUCCUCUUUGUUUAGGUUAGACUAUGUUCACUGAUCUGCACAGCGCGUAUACUCAAGGAAUUUUUCUGUAUGUGACAAAUCCACACUUCAAAUCCACAAGAUUUAUAGUCUUUGAAAAUGCUCAGUGCUGAUGCCGGUGGUAGGGUGGGUGUGGAUGUCUUGGUGAUGGAUUGACCAUUGAGUAAAAAACAGAAGAUCAUGCAGAAAGGGUCAGUUUGAGUCUCCUGUCACUAACUUGUGGUAUAUUAUUAGAGGUGCACUGAUUGCAAAAUUCAAGACCAAUAGAAAAGCCUUAUGUUUAAAAACACAUCCCUGUAGAUAAUAACCAACAGAUACUGAUAGAUUUGUAUACAUUCUUAAUUAGUGUUAACCUCUUUCUGAGCCAUCUCCACGAUUUCAGAACAACCGAAUACAUUCUGAAAGAAGGAAUUCAUUGAACGGGAAAAUGUACAUCCACAAUACCUAUUCACAGAUACAUUUGUAUUUAAACCCCCUCAAGUAAUCCACAAAAGUCAUUAAUUUUUGUACCAUUUCUGUACAUCUUAAUCCAUCCAAUAGCUGUUAAAAUAUUGAAUAUGGUCCAAAUGGUCUGCAUAUUGUGGAAAUGAGAAAUAAAAAAAACAUUGUCACUGCAGAUUGUGCAAGGAUUUUGCUUUGCAUCUUCUUCAGCAAAUACAAUACUCAGAGCAUACCCACAUGCACACAACCACACACAAUUACAAGCAUGCAGUAUUAACUUAGAGAGGAAGAAUAUGACCCAACAGGCUGGCUUGGUCAAUCCCAGAACUACCCUGUAAACAUUUCUAAAAGUGUCCUAAAUUUGACAGAAUAUUGACAUUUUUCCUGGGCAAUUGGUUUUAUCACACAUUUGACAGAGAUCCCAAAUGUUUGAUUCGGCGAAACACCAAUAGAACCAAGUGUGUGUGACUCAAUAAAUGUUCUGCUCUUGUUGCCUUUAGCCAACAAGUCGUUGGGUCAGUGACUUCAUUACUAGACUGAUGGUCCUCUCUGGACUGUGAACACUGAUGAUCAACACAGAGCUCUGCUGAUUAAAGUCCCAUUCCCUCAGCGUAAGCACUAAUUACCAAGACUGACAUGCAGUUCCAGCUCGUCUCGGAGCUCAGAGGUCUGUAGUCUCUUUCUGCCCUCUAUCAUCUUUGGUCAUGAGCACUGACAGCAGACAAGGGAUUAUCACUGUCAUCACAAAAUAGUAGCUUUAGACCAGUAGCUAUUAUUUGGCCAUGAUAGUAUGUCAUGGCUGUUAGAGAACCUUUGUGUGUAUUCACCACCCUGGAAAACACAACCUGUAAAACCUCAAACUUACUGGUUUCUCAUGGUAAGGGGGUACAGUACCUACUUAUCACAAUUUUUCAGCUUAAGAUGUUGCAUUGGCUAAAGCCAUACACUUUACAUCAAUCUCCAUUAAUGUUUAUUUAAAAUAAGACUUUAGAAAGAUUUUCUUAGCACAAAAAUUACCCCAGGGUUCAAAAGCUGCUGCAAUUCAUUUUUGUGUCAAGAGCAGUAAAUAAAUAGACCUUAGCCCUUUUUAUAUUUUAAGCUAGCAAAAGUGUUAUUAAGAAACUCUGCUUUCAUCACUCCUUUGUUUUUUUAAUGUCUCUUUUUAGGCAUUCUUGCCAGAAGGAUGCACAAACAGACCAUAUAUUGUAUAUUAAAAUGUAUACCACAAUUGCUCUCUGGCUUUGAAGCCAAAACAUUCAGAGCUCCCCCUACUGACUGGCUGCAGUAUCAGUCAACUCACUCACUUUAGCAGAUGAAAAACGAGUUCGACUGUAAAAUUAGAUAAUUGUCAAAUGAACUUUUCUCAAACAUGCUUUCUGUCAUUACUGUUACUUCUUAUUGUGCUGAUCUUAUUUUAGAAGUUUGGCUUCGACUAGAUAUUUGAUAACACAACAUAGAUUAAUUGACAGCUCUUUUCACAAAUGCGGGCUAUUACAGCAUUCUGUACCAAAUUAGCAGACUACCUAAUAGGAUUUGGUCAGCAGAGACCGACGCUGGCUGGUGUAUAAAAAAGAGUUAAUUGAAAAUCAAAAGAGCUGGCAGUGAAAGGAGGAAGCUUGCUUGGACAAAACUCUGGUGAGGAGUAACUAGAAAAACUCAGGAAUUAAAGAAUGCUGGACUAGCAGGUGGUGAGGCAGGAUAACCUAAGCAUAAAGAAGAAAACACUGGUAACACUCAAAAAUUGGCAGCUUGAGCACCACAAGUACACACAGUACUACUGGACAAGAUGGAAUUAGCUGGCAGAAUAGUGGAGUGAAGACCAGGCUUUAUUGGACAAGUUGCAGAGCAGAGUGGAAGCAGGUGUGCCUCACCUGCUGUCAUGCCCCCUGCCACACACCUGCCCUGCAAGAAAAAGACCUUAAGGAGAGGAGGAAAGAGACCACAAAAAAAUACAACAAAACCAAAACAGAAUUGUCAAAGACAUGUUGGGACAGUGGAGAAAACCUACAAAAACUAAUGCAAGCGUCAAGUGUCUGUUUCAAAUUAGCGCAAAAUCUGAUCUGCUGUGGACUGUACCCACCUGAGGGAUCUUUGACAUUUUACCUCAUUGUCCAUUUUAUUAAUAGUCAAUAAUUCAAACAUACACACAUUUGACUGUUCCACCUUACCUGCUCCAGCAGUUCUUAGUAAUUACGGCUGGCCCCAGUACCCUAUUUUUCAGGUUAACAUCAGGUAGCUGUAAUUUUCAGUUUUGGCACAAUAACUCCUUCUUUCACCUUCAAACAAACACGGCCAGUCGGAAUAUUUCAGCCGGUCAUAAAAAUCUUAUUCCCAAGAUAAACUUAUCAUGACGGCAGAUAAUAGAUAACUUAAUUUUUGAUUUGGGAAAAUCUGCAUAAUUACAUAAAUAGUAUGCAAAAUGCCUGCAUACUCCUUCACAGUUGGAGCUAAUGUCAUUACCAGCUUGUUGAAGUACCCCCCUUGCCCCCUUAAACAAGUAUUUGGGCUUUUGCAUUAACACAAUGAAAUACAAACUCAACAAAUAAAUCUGAGCAUAGAAGAGAAGCUUACACAACUUUUUUCUUUUGUUCCUUUCUUGGCAUACUGUGGAAAAUCAACAGCAGGCAUCAACCUGGGAUGUUAAUUGAAUGACCUCAGCAAUGUAUUCUCCCUGUCCAUUAGUGUCUGUGCUGCCUAAAGCUCCAUCACUCAGACACAAUAUCUCAUCUUUAGAUUACAAUGUGCCAAAACCUGCUGGAAUUGUUUGACUCUAUCAUGACUGGAAAGCAAAAAAAGAAAAAAAAUGUUAACACUGUAGAUACAUAAACAAAAUGCCCCCUUAUCUCUGCAUGUAUCGCUUAAAUGAUCAAAUAGACCUGUGAGGAAGAGAUAAAUAGAAAGAUGCAGCACAAACACUGUCUUCGUAAUGAGAUUAUGUUCACUCUGGCUGAUUAAAUUUGGCUCCUUCAGGCUUUAGAUUUGUCUGAACAUUUUGCUGAGAUGUUUCUUUUGUGCCUCUGUCACACUACAUGAAGUACAGUAUGCAGCACAAUGGGGCUGACGUUUGUGGAGCAACACAGUCUUCUAAUAAGAAAAAAGUUUCUUUUCAUUUCCUUGAACCACAUUUUUCUCCUCUGAUGGAAAAAUAUGAAAGCUUUUUGAAGGUGUGUAUUUCGUCAGACAAUGAGAUGAAAGGACUUCAGACCCCAUGGCAGAAAUAAAGAACGGAUUUUCCUGGACAUGUUCAAGUCUGCCGUGGGUUGAAAGGACCCAGAGACGGUUAAUAAUCUGAUUUGACAUCCAUUACUUGCUUGCAGGAACAUGGCUAAAGUGCAGGAACCCAUUGUGUAGCUACAACAAACACAGCACAUGGACUGGAUACUGUAAGACAGUGCACUGAGUCCAGACUUAAUGUUGUAGACUGUUGAUGCUGACACAAAGCAGACGCCUCAAUCAUUUCCAUUUUCAGAUCCUAUGUGCAGUUCUACACAUGCAGCUACUAUUUCAUCUUUUGUAAGAUUUUUAACUAUUUACAUAUGAACACAUUCUUCUAUGUGUGUCGUAAUGCCUCUGUGGUAAACUGCUGUCUCAAUGAACCAUAGAAAAUAUGUAAAACAAAUCAAAAAUGCCUGAUGCCAAGUCGGUCUUUUAGUUUGGAUUAUGCUAUUGUGGUUAGGUUUUUCUCAUUUUUACAGUAAUCUCCCGUUAAAGAGAAGAAUGUUCUGGUUGCAUUGUCAUUUUUAUUAAACAGUAUAAAAAAGAACUAAUUCAUGUAAUGAGAUGCUGCAUUGGUCUGGAUGUGUAAACAGAGGAAAAGCUAUCAUAAAUAGCAUAAAGAAAAAAGAGCUCCAGUAAUAAGACACUGUGAUCUUUUCCCCUUGUAUUCCCUCUCUCCAGUGCCGACAUUAUCUCCUGUUAGAUAUGAUGUGAACCUGCGCUGGUAUCUGCUCUAACUCAUUAACAUUAACUGUCAUUGCUGUGAUUUAGAGGGCUGGCACGGCGCUGUUAAAACUUUAACCUCAAGACAUACCUCGAGGGAGGGAAAUAAUGAAGACCAUGACUUUAGCAUAAUAACGUGUCUCCUACAUGGCUGCAUAUUUAUAAAUCAAUACAGUACAAGUAACUUUUUGAACUGUACUAUCACUUAGUAAAAGAGUUGUCUUAUACUUAUUUCUGAAUGUUGUAAUUUGGUUUAUGCUGCUGAUAAGAUCUGAAACUUAUUUGUAUUUUCAAUCAGCUGUGUUUUGUUGAUGCAUCAGCUACUUUUUUUCAGACAGUGAAACAUCAGAUUAAGCUUUUAAAAUUUUGCGUACACUUUUCAGUAAAAAAAAAGGGAAUGAUUAGAUUAUUCGAACAAGUUCAGCUACAAAGAAAUCAGACCUGUGACAAAAAAAAGGGAGAUUGAGAUUAACAUGUUACUUAAACUCUCUCAGUCUAGAACUAGUCAACGCUUGUUCUAGCUGUUUAAUAUUUUUGACUUUAAAUGAGAAAUUAUACAUGGCUUAAUGGAUGGAUAGAUAAAUCGAAAAGCACCUUGCUGAUUUUUCACUGUUAUAUCACUGAACUCUCUCUCUUCUUGAUCAAUUUGUUAUAAGACUAUUGUAUAACCAAACAUCAGGAUGUCUGGUCAACUAAAUACUGAAUGACCCUGAGAAGGGAGAGGGCGGAAUUGAUUUAUUUGUUCCCUGCACUUUGGUUUGGUUUCACUAAGACGAAACAGUGUGGAUUGAUUUUAGAAAACUGCAGAAUAACUGUAAAAGUAGAGUAUAAUAAACAUGUGUCAUCUGAAAAGGCCUAGAGAUAGAAUAUUUUCAGCUCAGAUAUCAAUACGAGACUGUUAUAGCAAAAGCUUUUGUUGGCACUGAAUCUGAUACAUAGCUGGUGUUAAAUUCAUUAAAAGGAAAAGACAUAGAUCAGUAUUUCUAUUAUCCUUUUAAAUGCUGUGAAUCCAGAGGCCCAUUAUUCCCGUCCUUUUAAGAAACUUUCUGUUUCAUCACCUUGAUAAGAUCCUGAAAUAGAUUCAGAGGUCUUUCCUCUACACUGCAAUCAUAUUAAAGAAACACGCUGGCUCUGAGCCUAAAGACCUGGAAGAAUUCGUCACCCGUGAUUAUAACAUUUACUCACCUGACACUGUGUUCCUGGUUGUGUUUUUCCUCCCACAGUCUCUCUCUCUCUCUCUCUUUCACUCUCCUUUGCUUGUUUAUUUGUGCUGGAUUGCUUCCUCAUUUGUUUUGCGUGAUUGAGGAGGGAGACGUACGCAACUGGGUACCGCCUCGGGUAAGAGAGAGGAUCCAGACACAGCUGGUGUGUCACUUGCUCGUAAUGAGCAAACGUGACAGGAUGAAAAUGUGGAGCGUCUGCCAUGUGCCACAGCUGUAGGAGGCUCUUUGAGGGCAAUUUAUAGAUACUCAUACUCAUGUGGCACUGUAAUUGUCCGUGGGCAUAAUAGAACUUUCUUUUCUUUUCUGUCAUCUAUAAGCUAGAAUCAUAGACAAUUACCCAGUUGACACUAUCUCCCAUAUCUCCCAUAUCUCCCAUAUCUCCUAUACCCAGCCUUUAAUGUGUGACUCAUAUGAGGUGGUGACUCAUGGGCUGUUAUCCAAGAUAGUCCCCUUUCUUGUCUGUCCAACAGAGGAGCUAUUGAAAAUCUAUGUCUAAGGAUACUGGGCUGAACCAGUUUCAAUCUAUUGUAAACAAAUGUAAUGAAGGAGAUAAAGCUGCAUGACUGAAUCAUGAAGUUAAGAAAUUGCGUACCUCGUAUGGUCUACUAUAGUGGUGGGCAAAACCGGUCAUUUCAGUGAACCGGAUCAUUCCGGGUAGUUCAGUAAAAAGACCCGUUCAUUUCGUUCUUUUUGGUCAUUUCGGUCAAUCGGUCAUUUGUCAGUCCGCUCGUCGUCGUGCCCCCCCCCCCCGCGGUCCGACGCUGUGACUGCUGCACUCUCCAUUUCCCACCCCCGGUCCAACGCUGCGAUCUCACUGCACUACUUGUAAUAUAAAAUUAUAGUAGGAGUAACAAAAUAUAUAAGGUUUUUAAUGUUUUUUGAUUAUUUUGAGGUGCAUUAAAAACAAUAAUAAAAAGUACAAAAUGUCAACAGACAGUGCAAAUGCGUAUUAAUAGUUGUCUCUCUGCCUCUGGCUGCAGCAGCAGCUGUGUGCCUUUGUGUGUGUGUGUGACUGUCCCACUCGCUCCGGCUCGGCUGUCGGGCCUCGUGCGGCGGCCACUCAACUCGGUCUUUCAGUCAACUCGUUCAUCUGUCUGGAUCUUUCGUUCACUCGGUCUUUCAGCCAACUCGUUCACCGUCUGGAUCUUUCGUUCACUCGGUCUCUCGUUCAACUCGUUCAUCCGUCUGGGUCUUUCGUUCACUCGGUCUUUCGUUCACUCGGUCUUUCGUUCAACUCGUUCAUCGGUCUGGAUCUUUCGUUCACUCGGUCUUUCGUUCAACUCGUUCAUCCGUCUGGAUCUUUUGUUCACUCAGUCUUUCGUUCAACUCGUUCAUCGGUCUGGGUCUUUCGUUCACUCGGUCUUUCGUUCAACUCGUUCAUCCGUCUGGGUCUUUCGUUCACUCGGUCUUUCGUUCACUCGGUCUUUCGUUCAACUCGUUCAUCGGUCUGGAUCUUUCGUUCACUCGGUCUUUCGUUCAACUCGUUCAUCCGUCUGGAUCUUUUGUUCACUCAGUCUUUCGUUCAACUCGUUCAUCGGUCUGGGUCUUUCGUUCACUCGGUCUUUCGUUCAACUCGUUCAUAGGUCUGGGUCUUUCGUUCAACUCGGUCUUUCGUUCAUUUGACCCGUUCUUUCAGUCAACUAGGUCUUUCGUUCAUUUGACCCGUUCCUUCAGUGAACUAGGUCUUUCGUUCAUUUGACCCGUUCUUUCAGUCAACUCGGUCAUUCCGGUCUUUCAGUCAGCUCAGUAGUACUGCUGCGGCUUCUCUAAGCCCCACCCACACACAGAACGAGGCGCGACGAUAGGAUAAGACAGGCAAGCAGUCCCUCUUCAGCCAAUCAAAAGAACUGAACGGAUUGAACGGGUCAUUUAGGGGGGGAGAACUAGUUCAUUUCGUUCAUCAAAAAGAACUAGUUCUUUUGAUCCGUUCGUUCAAGACCGACACACCACUAGUCUACUAGACUAUGAAGUUAUUAAACAGUUGGGGGAAAUGCCUGGUUUUGUAUAAUGCAGCGAGCAAACAGCCAGGCUGUAUCACUAUAAAGUAAAAAAUUCAUAAAAAUGGACUUUUCACACAAACAAAUCUAAUCAUAGCACUGUGAUCAUUUAUAUAGUUGAAUUCCCUCAACUAGCAGCGUCUUAUUUCUACAGAUUUUCAGACUGGGCUGCUCGUAUGAAUGCAAACUGCUUCAUCAUUCGUAACAGUGACUUUUCUUGGGCUUUUGCCUCUCAGUGCUCAGUUAAAUUCCUGCAGAAAGUCGGGUAGAGCUGAUGUGUGAACAAUGCAGAAAAAAGUCAGGAAAAUCAACCCACAUCAAGUGGAAGGGAGUGAUGACAUCCAUAGACCAGAUGCCCUACUUUCCUCCUGUCUUCAAUAAAAAUAGAGAUAAUUGCACAUAAGGAUGAAAAAAGUCUCUGUUGAACCUAAAUAGCACAGAUACAGUAGGAAUCUAAAGGGAUAUAACAAUAUAUAUUUUAUAAGUAACAUGGCAAGGCAACAGCAGACGUUGUUGUUAUCCUUAUUUAGGGCAUCCCAGCUAUAGCUGAUCAUUAUUCAAGUUAUUUUUAGCUCUGUAGGAUAAUAAUGAACAGCCCCCUUUUUUUUAUCUGUUUGCAGUGCAGUUGUAUCUCAUGUCUCAAGUACACUUCAUCUGUACUUCUUGUACUUUAGUGGAGAUUUAGGGAACAGGUGAUGUGGUAGGGUUCUCACACCAAUAAGUAAAUAAAUAAAUAAGCAUUGCAGUAAAAGUUUUGCAAUGUGCAUUCAGACUGGACAAAAUUAAUUUAGAAACAGCAGCUCUUGUCACUUAGCAACUCUGAACGCUGGUUGCCUGGCAACUUCACUGUGAUGACAAGACUGUGGCAGGUCAGUGCGCCCGAUUGUUGUUUCCCAAGAUACAGUAAAAAAAAGAAAGCCUGUCACUUUCCUUUAAACCACAACUUGUGUUUUGUUUCUCAUUAUUGCUUUUGUUCUGAAGAAUUACGAUAUGAUAAGGCAGCUUUGUAAGUUUUAGUGUCAGAGUUUUCAAACUUCAGCUGCUUUGUGCUUCCAACAUUUGUGAAUUUGUGUUAUCAAACCAUUGGAGAAAAAAAAAGUGAUCUAUUUAAAAUAAAAGAUGUCAUUAGAUACGAUAAGCCUGUCUGUGUGAGUUUAAAGAAACUUUAAGAUGGAAACUGGGUGGUUUACUAGUGAAACUGUGUAAUACAGUUUGACAUACACUUCGCUUCUCUUUUGGACUGACUGAAGAAGCUUCACGUUAAAUCCUAGGAUCUCUCUGGCACUUUUAAUGUCAGCACUGUAGCCAACACUUAACUGUAUUAUUUAUAUUUUCUGACAUGUCAUAAUUGACAGGAUUCAUGAUAGCUGUCCAAAAAUCUGUGAACUGUUUAUUACUGCCCAAGUCAAAUAAACAAGUUAAUCAGAAUAAUAAAAAACACUAAGUGGCUUAAAGUUAACAUGUGGACUGCAAAAAAGUUUUUCUCUAGGAGCCCUGUAACAGAGCUAAUACCUGCUCCUACUACUCAGUAGCAUUUUGUGUCAAUUUUUUUCUUGUGUUAAAAAAAUGAGAAGCUUAAAAGCUGUUUCGGCUUUAAAAACCAUGUGGAGUAAAAGUUUUUGAAACUUUUUAUCAUUCAAUCAAAAAUAUUGUGGAUUUUAUGCAUUUUGAGAUAAUUGUUGCUCAGCACUGAUGCUGGGCUUGUAAUCGUGUUUGAACAGCUGCAGUCUUAAAAAUCUCAGCCAUGCCUGACAUUCCUGUCUCCUUCUUUUAUUCUAAAUCGUCCCAGUCCUUUAGCACUGGACUGAGGCUCGAGCAUAUCUGCUCUCACUCUGACGACAUGAUAUAGAAAACCAUAUAGGAGUCUAUACGGUCAACUGCAUGCCCAGAAAUAGUGUGGCUGUCCAAAAUGCAGUCCUGCUCUGAUUGCAGCCUGAGCUCCUAUGAGGGGGAAGGAGGAAGCUGCCAAAUCCUCCCUGCAGCCCGUCAUCUAUCUGCCCUCUUCAGACACGCAGGAUGUCAGUGGACUGUAGAAAUAAACUGCUACAGGUAGAAAGAGGGUGUUUCAACAGUAGGAUAAGUUUUGCAUAUAAAAGAUAUUCCAGCCAUGUUUUGAUACAUGAAAAAAUUCACAGGCUGCUCCUUUAUGUCCUCCGUCUGUGCACUGAAGCUCUGAUUUAAUCUCAGAGUUUUUUCUUGCCUGGCUUUUAUGAACAUUUCCUCUCAUACUUGGAGUAAUAGUUUCCUUUUAAGGGAUUAGCAUUUUCAUCUUUUGUGAGGAAUCUUCGGUGUGAGAUCAAAGUCGCUCAUUAAUAGAUAAAAAAAUCGAAGUACCACCACACUUCAACCUAGUUUUCUGUCAUACUGGCUUCAGUUUUAGCAGGAAGUAAAAAAAGACCACCACAGAAAUUAUUAUUCAGUUAAGUAUUCUUCUUAGAACAGUAACAAAAUAUUUUAAGCUGAGUUUUCACCAGAUCUUUCCUUUUUAUUCCUCCUCCAGAACAUCUGCAUCAGAAGCACACAGAGAACGUAGUUUUAUUCAGUUAAUGCUGCAUAUUUGGAGCUUCAUUUCCACACCAUUGCCACAGAGAUGUCAGGUGAUAGAUGUUCAAAAUAGCACUCAGGUUAUUCUCCAAACUGUCACCCAUCAGCUCAGGAGUUACAACAACAAAAAUAUUCCAAUCUCUGAAAUUAAACCUGAUUUUGUUCAAUCUUUGCUGUGACAUGCUCCGAUUGAGAACAUCUGACCUCUUGCUUUGUUUGUCUAAGUAUUCUCUUACCUAACAUGGAGGACCACAAGGGUCACAGGAUAAUUCAAACACAAUCAGACAAUUACAAAAAGAGUUAAUUAACUGGUUUACAAAUUCACUGAUUAAAGAUAACAGAGGAAUUAUGAAGGAAAUGGAUCUUUAAAAUGUCAAAUAAUAAAUUAUAAAUGCAUUCCUUAAUAAAAAGUUGAAUUUGGAAAUCAAUUUGAAAAAGAGUAAUAAAAAAGUGGAUUCACAAACUGUAUGAAGAAUACAUCUUUUAAUCAGCUAUUUAAAAGGACCGUUCCUUUCCCAUUUUCACCUCCACUUCCUGGCAGCUUUUCCUAAUCCUGGUCAAAAGAAAGAUUUGAGAAGACCAUUUUCAAUUUCCAUUUCCCCUCCUCCCUUCGCCUCUCCAUGACCCUUUGGGCCGUCAGCAAGGUAAACACAAUGCAAAUUAGCCAUGAAACAAGCUCUCUGAUUGGUUAAAAUCUAGCCUGUUACAAUCUCAGGUACUUGGGGAGGUGACUCGUAUUAUAUGUUGCGAUCCUUUAGAUUCAACAGGUUUUAACAUCUGUUCAAAUGACAAGGAAUUAGUUGCUGUUUCACUUGUGUCCUGCCUCUAAAGUGCGUUGUUAACCUGAGAGACAGAUACAGCUGUAAACUCAAAUGGACAAGUGAUGGGUCCACUCACAGCCUGAGGAGUCAAGGGUGUGUUUACACCAGCCAGACCAGUAUUUGUCAGAUCAGGGUUUAGUGACUCCUAUAAGGAUCCAGCAGAAAUAAAAUGAUCAUUAAGGCAAUUUAGUAUAGCUGUCUUAUUAGACACUGUACCAAGAAGAGAAGUUAAAGAAAUUGGCAAGUCAUUAGUUGUCACAUGAUUUGAAGGAGAUAUUAAGACUUUCUCAAAUUUUGGGGGAUCAUUUAUAGUUUUUAUGGAUUCAUUCAAGUGAAAGCCAGACUUAGCACUCGUAAUAAGGGCAGUACAUUCAUUUCUAAGCUGGCAAAAGCUGAGCCAGUUUAUGUCUCUUUGUUUUCCGAGCCCUGGCCCAAGCAUUGUCUCUCUCUGUGAGGAGGUUUCCAAUUUCAGAGGAAAACCAGGGAUUAUUUGGACCCUUCACCCUAAAUUUUUGAAAAGGAGCAUGUUUAUUCACUGUACCUCAGAAUUCAUCAUAAAGAUAUUUCAGAGCCAACACUAUAGCAUCUUUUUUCAAGAUUAUGACAACCAUUUCCAUUUUUCUGUUUAUUUGGCACAUUUUAAAAUACAAUAGAACACAACAACAACCACGAUAGUGGACGGACAUAAACAAUAGUCGAUUAAAUUUUAAAAAGCAUGCCAGGGAAAUCCCAGAAAAGGGGCUUGAAGAGGAGCAUAAACGUUUACCUUGUGAUUGAAAAUUUGCAUACAUCUAGUAUGGAUACCAAACACUGUAACUUUGCAGUUUUUGUUGUGAAUGUGGAAACUCAUAAUACCACCCCUUUGUAUGAGCCCUGAACUCUUUUUUACAUACAGAUCCAUAAACAGCAUAAAUUGAGUGACAUCGAAUUAAACUGAGAAUAAAGGCCUUGCUCCCCUUUUUAUUCUGAUGAUAGUACACACCGGUGAAGGUCUGACCCUCUAUUUUAUGAAAAUUUAAGAGAGACCUGUUUUUUGACAUCAUCUUUGUUGUUAGAUCUUGCUAAUAAAGAUGCAGGUGUACCUUAUGAACAGCUGAUAUUGUGUUCUUUACUGCUUUUGCUCAAAGUUCAUUAGGGAUUUUAAAUUUGAUUCACAGCUGUCGUAUUAAAAAUAUUUUAUUAAAUAUAUGCUUUUGCUAAACUUACUUGAAGGCCAUUGACUUCUAAACUUUUGUCAAAUUAUUAGGAACAAAAAUACAGUCAAAAGAAUAACACUGAGUGCAUUUGCUUCAGUCACCAUGGAGACCGCAAUGCUGUGCACUGUGCUAGGCUGCACUUCUUUUCAUGGUAAGAGAGGGUACUGAGUGUAAGGUCAUAAUACCUCCUCUGACGUCAUUGUGACUCAUUUUACUUCACACGGCAUUUACAAAAGUGUGAAAAAAGACGAGCUGACAUUAUCAACAAAGAAAUAAUCUGUGCUGUUGAGGAGUUCUGCGGGUUUGCCUGACUGAGUAUAAUUUGGAAAAGUGGUGUCAGACCUCCUAAUGAUUUUGCAGAGGUGUUUUAGAGUAAGUUUGAAUGGUCUUUGAGCUGAACCGCAACUUGACCAAGUGACUCUGACAAGUUCUGGAGGAUAAAAUCGACCACUUGAGAAUUUCUUUACUGGCUUAUUUUUUUGCUGAAGGUUUAGCACAACAUAAGCAUACAGACUAAAACCUGCAGUUGAACUGUAGAGUUGUGGACAAGGUUGAUAAACAGGAAUGAUUCACUGCUCAUUUUUUUUCAGACUGGGAGGUCAGAUGUUCAAAAGACGCACUCCAGCAGCAGACAUAUAGCUGCCAUUCGGCCAAAUCUGUCCCUCCUGAGGAAAUAAGUUGUUUACCAGACAAUGACCUUUAGCUGCUGUGUGACUGAUGGCUCCUGUCAAAUAAGUGCCAUUAUGAUAUCAUUAGCCCUAAAAUACCGCAAAGUAAGAGCUCUGGGGUUGGACUGGUCAGUGCAGUGUGUGAUCCUGGAACAAAGGGCUGCUGUUUCUUCUUCCCUUACAUCAACAGAUUCUUUUCUUACCUAUGAAUGUCCCUUUUCGUUUACUGCUUCUGCAUAAGAGAUGGAGAAUCUGCACACAGGUGACCAGAUUUUGUUAAUGUAUAGGCUUCGUUUUUAGUUGGUAGUACAAGCUGUAAAAUCCUCAAUCUGCUCUUUGACCUUUUUGUCAGUUCCAACGCAAUUCUGUUUCUCCAGUCACCAGUUUGACUUUAAACAAUGGCAACAAACAUGAAAAGAAGUCUUGGCAAGAAAACUUUUGAUUGUAAUGCUGGCCACAUAAACUUUUCAUAGCUGCCAGAGGCUGUAGUCAUAAACUGAUAGCCAGUGGAUUCCAGUUUUACUUUAUAUAAACUAAAGACAGUUAUGGGUUUAUGAAAAAUGAACAGGAUUCCCAAGUGAAGUCAGUAUAGAAAGACAGUAGGUUAACAUGCACAGAUAAGUCCAGCUCAAUUAGGCAAUUUAAAGGGAUAUUCCGGCGUAAAAUUAACUUAGUGUCAAACACACCGUAACACUGCUUUAGACACCCCCUUGAGAGAUGAAUGUUGUGGACUGCUUGCCUCUAAGUUACACCAACUUUUGUAAUGACCACACGGUAGGAAUACACAGUGGUCUAUGGAUCCACACGCACAGCUCAACCAAAAAGCCAUCAUUACUUCAUCAUUGAAUUAAUAAUCAUCAUAUUAAAUGUUCUUCAUUGAGCUGCAUCCCCCCUGCUGUCAGUAGUGGACUUGUCCAAGGUCUUCCUACAAACAGCGGCUGCUGGAAGAGAGUAGGUGAGUUGUGUUUAGUCUCUUUGCUAAAGAAAUUAGACAAAGUUAGAAAGAUGUUUGGUGUCUAGUACUAUGGCUGGGACCCUAUAUGUGCUGUUGAUGAAGUUAGGUGCUGUUCUGAGCAUUAUUUGACUAUAGAGUGGCUUUUUGGUUGAGUGCGUGGCCCUGUAGACCACUGUGUAUUGCUAUCGUGCGGUCGUUACUAAAGUUGGUAGUAACUCCUCUCGAGGAGUUGUCUAACUCAGUGUUACAGUGUGUUUGACCCUAAUGUAAUUUUACGCUGGAAUAUCCCUUUAAUUGGACUACUAACCUUGUCCCAGUAUGACUGUACAAGCACCUGGCAAGAGUCCAUUCAUUGACAAAAGUAUUUCUGCCCCCGCUGCAGUAGGUGGUGAAAUAUCUCCUUUUAUCUUUUUGCUGUUGGGCCAUCCCUGGGUUGACCUUUUGUUUCUUGUGCCAAAACAAUCAACCAACGCAUCAACAAGAGACCACCAGGCUGAAUAUUAAAAAAGGAAAAUACCAACAACUUUACAGCUCUGCACCUUUCACACACACAGAAUCUGUGGAGCAUGUGCAGAACACUGCUAGCCUGAGCCUGGUUAUGGUGUGAACAUACAAGAGAAAAUAGAUCCCCUGCUACUGCAAUGUCAGUCAGACUAAUGUGUUUCCAUGUGUUUUAAAAAAAGUCCAGUUUCAGUCAGACUAAGCAAUAAAUCUGUUUUUCAAACAGCAUGUAAACAUACUGACAGAGCCACACUCAUGGCUGUCUGGAUUCAUCUCCAAACCUUGUUCUUUUGCAGCAUGCCAUUCCUCACUUUCUCUUCUAGGUUUUCUGCUCUCUCCACUGUCCAAUCCUCUCUCCUGUUUGUGUUGAUGCACGACUUCUCUCAGAUUUGAUAACAACUCAAUAAAAAAAAAAUCCAUUUAAUGUCCGAUUGAAAACAUCACGUAGAGGAUAGCCUGAUAGAGUUUACAUCCACUGCUUGCCAACAUCUCGAGUUGUUUAGAUUUGGAUAAACAUGAUUUGGGGGACUGAUGGUGCGAGUAAUCAGGCAUGACCCUGAUCAAUUUGAUUAAGGAAAAGCAAUCAAGGUAACACUGCCUUGAAUCAAAAUCCACUUAAUAUCCUUCAAAGACUCUUAAUUGAACAAUAAUCUUUCUCCAAAUUGUCACUAAGAAGCACUUAAGACAAGAUGACAUCAGUUACUGAGACCCUAAACUCACAGGGGGAAAGAGUUUGAUCAAUGUACAUUUCCACAGAGACCUUGAGGAUCAUUCCUCUUGAAUGAAAUUCAGUCAUUUCUCUGGGAACACUUUACUGCCUUUCGAUAAAUUGCAUCUUAAAGCUUUCAGGCACUGUCUUCAGAACUGAGUUAUGGUAGAUGCCUCUUUGAAAAAAUCUCCUGUGAUGACAUCCCCCCUUAGAGAUCUUUUUUAAAAAUGGGAUUAAGAAAUAUGCGUCAUUAUUUGGAAGAUGCACCGCCAUCCCCAGGGUCAUGUGUAGACUGUGCUGCCAAUCAGGUCACAGGUGAAGACAGCAAGAGACUUUGGCAUCCUGGGAGUCUGGCUAGGACGCCUGUGUCUGGGGAUCUAAGUGUCAGCUGCCUGAGGGGACAGAGCAGGAGUCAUUGGCAGUGCAAAAGACUUGGCCACACUGCUACAAUAACACUGGGGAAAAAAAACUCCUGGAAAUCAGCUCUCUCAUUUUUACAAGUUGAUUUGCUCCAGAGUUUCAGGAGACAAGACAGGUGAGAAUACCAAAGAUAGUGUGCAGCAUGGACAUAGACUUAGUGACACUAGUUUAUGAAGAGGGAUUUUGAAGUGAUGCUUGCCAACAAAUUAAGAGCUCAUCCAGAAACUGUCAAACAGUUGCAGUUUAGGCCAUAGUUACAAAAUGCUCAUCUACCGGUUAACCCAGUCAAGCACCUAAAUAUGCCUGAAUUGGUAUAAGUCUUCGCCUGAGAGUCAGAAUCAUUCACCUUCUGUACUUGAGUUACAAAUGGAGAAACAAGGUUGAGACAUCAUUUUUUUAUCAGACUGUGGACACAUUCAGCCCUUUUUAAAUUAAUCUUUUGAACUUUUUGCCCUUUUUUAACAGGACAGCCUGAGAGAUAGACAUGAAACAUAUGGAGAGAAUGGGUAUUAACAUGCACUUGAUCCUAUUUGGGCCACAGAUCAAUCCAUUGACCAGUGAGAUGAAGACCCUAGCCGUACAUCGGGCCUCAGUGUAACAUAUUUUUGCUAUACUGAUUAGUCAUGCAUUUGAAUUUGGAUUUUUAAUGUAGUUCCCUCUGAAUUUGAUAGUAUAAGACUGUAUUCAAACCUGUCCAAUAGCGCGGUUUGACAUUUGCAUAUUUAUGAGGUCAAUAUUCAAAUUUGCAUAUGUACUUUAAGGUUGAGUUUACCUUGAAAGAGAAAAAGUCACCUCUCGUCUCUGAAAUGAUAUAUUAUCAUCCUCGACAAUGGGAUUCAAAGACAGCAGUACAAUAGUGUAUCGUAAUACUGGCAUGUGUGACACUUUCCUCUGUUGUGUGUAUAACUCCAGUGUAGCAGCACAUCAUUUUUCUUCCUCAAACUCUCUUAUCUGACUUUGAGGCUGGGUAAGCAAACGGUUCUGCACAGAAGUGUUUUAGGAUUGAUUGUUCAGACUCACAUCAGCAUUAUCUUCCUCCUGUUUGAAGUGAAGUCACACUUUUAUGGGCAGCCAGUUCAGUUUUUAGUGAUAUGAGGGCUGAGAAAAUGAAGAAAGUUCCAGUCAAAGAACCACUGACCUGUUCUGUUUGCCUCAAAACACUUUGUCCUCAAAAUGUGGAGUUCAAGUUUAACAGGCUGUGAUUCAGUGCCAACAUUCCUCAACAAGGAUAUAAAAUGGAAAUAGCUCUUUAUAAAUCACAUGACAUGUCCACUUAGAGGAGAGAAUAUGGAUAUUAAAACAGCCGUACGGAACAAUGUGUUAUAAAGGGCUAUGGAGAAAUUUAUUCUGGUUCAAGUCAGGUUAUUCUUCUGAGCUCUGAAUGAAAGCGGUGUGAUCAUGCGUGCAGUGAGUCUGCCUCACAGGAGAGCUGAUGGGAUCUUAUCAAUGAAAGCUUCCUGACUGCAGCCCAGAUAGCAGCUUGCCUGGCACUGCCCUCUGAUUACUGCUGCCACAGAGAGCUGCUUCAACUCCAGCAGCACUGUUAGCAUGACAGUGCACAUUAGUGAUGGUGGAGGGUAGAGGAUGUGGAGGAGAUCAAAGGGAGGGUGCAUAAAGACGGAGGAAGGAGAUGAAGAUAAAGCACGGAAACAAACAAGAGCGCUAUUUUUGGUGCUUAAUGGGGUAACUGGGUUGGUGAGAUUUUUUUUCCAAGUUUCUCUCCUCUCUUGCCGACACAUGCUGAUGCAUACUUGUGGCUUGGAGAGCUGCCUCGGUGUGCAGGUCUGUGGUCAGAAAUGCUUUUAGGAAUAAUGAAAAACAUACAAAAACCAUCCUGCUGUUUUUUGCUGGUUAAAUGUGUCUCUUGUUGACACUGUAUGUAGGAAGAAAACUAUUUUGGUAGAGUGUAAUUAACAUAGACUGUCUAUACUACGGACACCUGUGUUCCUCCUUCCGCCAGUAUAUGGGUUUUAAGCCGUUCCGCGAUUUUUCUCCACUUCCUGAAACCAACAUUGCGCAGUAGCAUUGUACGCAUUCGGCAGGAGAGUCGCCGUGAGUUACUGUGAUGAUGCUCGACUCAAACAGUGUAUCCCCCGGGUGAGCUACGCAAUCUUCGCAUGACCAUAGGAUGUAUCAAGUGUCAAUCAUAGAAAACAUGAACCCCCAAUAACUUUUAAAAAUGGAGCUGUACAGAAAAAAAGAGGACUUGUGAACAAACCAGUCUUACAUUAACUACAUGUCAACAUCACAAGCAGGGGGAGGGGGAAUUUAUAUUCCGUGUAAUUAAUUUCUGAAGUUUGUCCACAGCACCAUAGGGAUUGCUGGAGGAGGUGGGAUUAAAGCCUAUACUGCAGCCUGUCACCAGAGGGUGCUGUUCUCAGGGUGGCUUCACCCAGCAAGGAGGCAGACGUUGUCCAUUCUAUAUACAGUCUAUGGAAAUUAAACAUCCAAUCAGACCAGGCAGCAGCAACUUAAAACAUUAUUAAAACAGAACUGGUACAUCUCGCCAUUUAUGGUUGUCUCAUUUGGUUUUGUAACUCGUGAGAAUAUGGACUGGCACCACUGCCCCUUUCAGUGAAAAGCCCAAUAAUUGUUAUAUUCUGUAUUACUGUACAGAAAGUUUAGGGAACAUGCAAAUUGUAUAUGCUAUAUUUUUUAUAAUUAGUAUUAAUCUGAUUUCUUGAUAUGUGUCUUUUCUUAAAUUCUUUUAUUGUUUUGGCUCACUGUUGCUGUAACACCAUAAUUUCCCAGUUUGGGAUCAGUAAAGUAAUUCUGAUUCUGAUUCUGAUUCUGAUGAAGAAGUUACAAUAUAAUUGAACUCCUUACAAGAGCUUUCACAUCUGAAAAAAUUCAAAAUAUUUUAGGCGUAUGUUUGAACAACCUGAAUUAAGUUUACCAUAAAGAUUUUUCAGAUUGUAAAAUAUGUUUUGGUCAAGUUUUUGAAGAUGUAACAUUCAGGAUGAUGUAUGAGACUUUCAUUUGACGUAAUUCUGAAUAAAUAAGAAAUUAACAUUCAACAUGAUACAUUUUGAUAGAGUGUAAGUCGUGAUAACUAUUUUUCUUCUAGGGCUUGAAAAUUGCUUUAUUUAUUGUCAGGAAGAAAUCCUGUUUUAAGGUCUCAAGGAGACACCUUCUGAAUGCAAAUCCACUGCAGGGAUGUGUGCACUAGUCAAAGUCUGAGUCAUCAGUGCAGGAGUUCAUGAAAAUGGAUGUGAGCAUCACAACACUGAAUCUCACAAUCCGCAUUUGUGAAGAAGUGCAUCCGAUUUCUUUAGGCUGUGAAUCUCUCUUUGUCAAAUCAGUCUUAAAUCCUGAAGGUGAUGAAUGAAGAGCUGUUUUAAGCCAGAAAUAUCCACAAGUAGAGAGUGAAGGAGAAGACGAAGUGAAUCAAAGGUUGACCACAGCCUUGAUGAAACUUGUUCAGUCAGCAGAGUCAGCCCCUGUCUGUGUGUCUGACCCCGACCAGCAUGCCUGAUCCUCCAUGUUGGAGCAUCAGCUGAACUCAGGCCGUACUCCCAAGCCUUCCUGUUGAUUUCUUGUUAACAAACAUGACAGUGAUUGACGGAAAGGUCCAAUUACAGCCACAACUGGCUGACACCUGCACAGGUCACCCAGUGCCUGUUCAGACUAAAAGAAAGUCUCAUUGAUUUACCAGCUGAGGUUUUAUUGGAGGCUGAUGAGGAUCUGUUACUGAGCUGCUUGGAGUGAGAUGAGUCUGCAUUGGAUUCAAUUAAUGAUGCAUCGUGGGAGGUUGAGGUAGUGAUGUGAGUGCUGUUCUUCUGCUCUUAAAAACUGCGUUUAAGUAAGAGGUAGAAAAAAAAGGCUUAGACUGGGUCUACAUAUUAUUUUACAUACAUGAGUGAAAGAUUUGGGACUCACUGUCAAUAUGCUCUUACUGUUUUCAUUUUUGAGCAUUAGAGUGUUGUUGCAACUUAGUAAAACAACGAUUAUUGGUAUGUGUGUGUGUGUGUAUGUAUGUAAUGUAUGUAUGUAUGUACGUAAUGUAUAGAUGUGUAUAUAUAUAUGUUUAAUGUAACAGUUGAUCAUUAAAAACACAGCGAUACAGUCUUUGUCCUCCAGAAGUACCAUUUUAAGUCACAGCUCCACAAAGUGAGCUACAUUUAAUGUGGAUCAUCAGUUUCCGAUUGAUAUUCAAAUAAUUGAAUGUUUCCAAAUCAUUGAGUCCCAACAAGGACAUCUCCUCAGUAAAUCAGUUUGAUGAUGAUCAACUCUUUGUCUCAUGUCAACGACGGUUACGAAAAUAAUUCUUUCAGCUGAUCAUGUUUAUCCCACACUAGCCAAACAAUUAGUCAAAUGAUCUGAAAUCAUUAGUGGUAUCCCGUCUGUUGAUGUGUCUGUCUGAGAUUUACAACAUAUCAGCCUGUGUGUGUCUUCUAACCCUCAUGAUCAUAAGAGGUAUUUGUGGAUUCAACAUCAGGAAACACUUGAAUUUUGACUUGUUGAACAAAAAGAUAAACAAUAAUCUAACAAUUUACCGGAUCAGCACCACUUUGAGUUUAUGAUAUCACUAUUUCACCGUAAUAAACUUUUCAACAGUAGAUGGGGUAGAUUUUUAAAAAUUUAAUCUGUUUUCAUUCAGCUCUAUGACCUAUGAUCUACUGAAAGCAGCAUACAGGAAAUGGAGCAACCGGAAUCCUGGAUAGGAAUUUCUUCAAAAUCAAAACAUGAAUAACUGUUUAUUGAGUAAUUAUCCUCUUUUAAGAAAUUUUAAAUCCCAGUGCUGGUGGUAAACCAUAGAAAUGGAGGAGACACAUGAGUUAAUUGUGUUUGUGAACUAAUUAAUGUGUGUGUAGUGUUCUCCGUGCAAGAGAAUUAAGUGGAUUAGUCUGAGCUCAUUGGAUAUAGAAAAUAUUUGAGUCUUCUUUAACACACUGUGCCAGUAGUUCCCUCAAAUCUGAGUAAAUAUCACUCAUGUCAAAACUCUUGUAAAAGAAAUGAGGAUGAUUUUACGACUUACUACUACUCUACCACUACUCUUGGGGAGUUCCUUACUGUAUAUUUUGCUCUAAUCUGCCUUCAAAGGUUUUGUAAUGUUUUGGCCUGAACAGACCCGAAAUAAAGAAGCACAAAUCAUUAACAGAAGAAAUAUAAGAAAGAGACAAUUAGCUAUUACGAUGGUUUUAAAAAGUUGGAGCCUGAUCUUGAUCCAAACUGAAUUAUUGUCCAGUUGAAAAAUGCCGUUUGAAAGAGUUUGAUAAAAGCCCUGCAGUGUUUCUUUUUCCAUCAGUCAGGAGACCAGAAAACUUUGACUGAGGUCAAAGCAGGGUUUGCUAAAGUCUACACUCAGAUACAGGCAUGGAUAACCCUCUCACAGCUUAUAAAGGACAUAUGAGAUUUUAUUUAGAGAUGUUGAUCACCAGCAGCAGAGCGGGCUCACCCCUGUUGACCCGAUGAGUGAAACAGUGCUCAGAGUUUAUGUGAUCUGGGCUCUGAGAUACAACCUGCCAAGAUGCUCUUUUGUUGUGCUGCAAGACUUUAGUGCAAACACAGAACAAACUCAGCUCCCCCGCCAGUUGUUUAUUCAGAUUUAUUCCACAGAAUCAACGAAACUCAUUCACCAUCCACUGCUGAUUUAUUUUGGGCGUUUGGGAGCUGCUGUCAGUGAGGAGAGAAAUCAAACUACUGGCAACACUUUUGUGCACCAAACAGCACUGUAAUGUUCACUUAUUGCAAAAUAUAAAAUCCACUUAAGUUCUGGCCUACCCUCAUACACAUUUGUUUGUUACUUUGAUUCACAAUUCUCCCCAUGAUCAUUUCACUGUUUAAGAGCCAAAGCAGCUUAAAAGUUAUCACCUCCAAUGUGUCGGCUGUUUUAAAAGCCUAUUAUGGAUCCCACUUGUGCAUUUGUGUUGUCAGGACUCUUUAAAAAGAGACGAUUUGACUUGUUGGCUGCUCUGAGUUAAGGUGACUAAGAUCAUCAGCUGAGGAGGUCCUUAUCUGUGAUCCUUUUGUAGUGAUUAUGCUGCAUUAAUGUAUUGUGUGAUUUGUUACAGUCUUGAUUAAAAUAUCUGAGAGUGACUAGAAGAGCUGACUUUCAUAUUGACACUAUUUAAGAUGUUUCCAACAGUUUUCAAGCCAUAAAGCUAUUAUGGCUGCAACUAACAGCAGCCUUGAUCAUGGACUAAUCAUCUGUUAUUAAAGUAAAUAAUUGACUGAUCUGAUAAAGAAUUGCAAAGUGAUACUUAAUGGAUUUUAUUGAGGAAUUACCUUUUUUAUUUUAAAUUGCUCUUACAGCUAAAAACAGGACAUUAAAGCUUCUGUGAGUAACUUUGAGUUUGUGGCAAUUUUUGCAUCCUCUGUGGAAAAACAUUCAUGGCUUGUCUUCUGAAAAAAUAUUGUCCUGCUGACUUUUUACAGCCAAAUGUUUCAUUUAUCCUGAAUAUUUUAUAUGGACAUUGUAAAAACGGGACUGGAUCUUCAGCCGUGCUGCUGACACCUUCCCUCUCACACAUCAGGGAGUGCCAAUCCUCAGUCUUGUUGCUAACAGUCUUGUUUGCUUUUGUCUUGCUUUUGGAUAUCAUAGAGAGGCACAUUUGCCAAUUUCAGUCCAUUUCAUGAAGGUUAAAAAAACCCUCAUAGGAGUCACUUCAUGUCUCAAUAUAUAAUGGACAUGUGGUGAAGUGUGGCUCUCUUCAACACUUGCUUUUUUAGUUUAAACUAGGAAACAAGGUCCUUUUUAACUAAACCAGGAAUACUGACAUUAUAUUAACCCAAACCAAGAGUUAUUGCUGAUCAAAAGUUCUUCGCCCAAGUCAUAGUCAUACUCAGAAAAGCCUCUUUGUUUUGUUUAAAGGGCAAAGACAAACAUUGUAUUUCAGGAUGUAAUCUGAAAGACUUGUGGGUCACCUUCCUUUCUGCUUCCUCGUCUCAUUCUUUCAGUCUCUGUGCUGAAUAAAUAAAAAAAAAUCUGUUGCUACUGUUUGUGUUUGAAACACUUUGUGAGAAGUAGAACGGAAGAGUGAGCUGCCGGUGACGUAGGAGGAGACAAAGACCAGGAACUGUGAGAGUGACGGAGACCUUCAGCACAUUAAAUGAACAAAGCCUGGCUUUAACUGGCACCGAGAAGUCCACUUUAACGUAGACACAGGACUAAAACCAUCCUUUCUUUAGACUGCAUUACUUUCUGCACAUUUACCUUUAUUCACAGGAACAUAGGUUUAGAUAGAUCGAUGGAUAGAUGGAUCUAAUUUUGGUAUAUUGUCAUCAGAUCUGUUAAUUUGUCAGUGGGACAACAAGAGAAGGAACACGGCUCCUUGCUGCUGAUGGAUGGCUGCAAUAAUAAACUCAUUUGAAAUAAUCAUCACACUCCCCCCUGUCGCCUCCAACACCUCAUUGGACAGAUGAAUUGUUUAUUUGGCCCAUUCACCACAGAUCUGCACUCUGCCAGUCAUGACAGCUACUUUUCAUUUGACUGAUAUACAGAAACAGAAACAGAAACAGAAACGUGGCAAAUUUGAGAGCUGAUGAGUUUCCAAACAGAGCUUACACUUGAGCCAAACAGUGCUUUUGUUGGAGUUUCUUAAAAUUAGCUAACUUACAAAGUAGACCUGAUCCCCCUCUGUAGCCGUUAACAGCUUAGCUAGCUUGCAUCUUCUUUUGCUAACACUCUUGCUAUUAAUAAGUGCCCCACAAAAACAAACAGACAAACAGUCCCUUCAAGCAAAAGCCAAACUCUUGCAAGUUUUUGUUCUUGUUAGUCAUCAGUUCUUCUUUGCCAAGAUGAUCCAUCAGGCUGACAUUUGCAGCAUGAUUAUUAUUCAAUUGUGCUCCGGACUCAUCACAAUAAAAGGCCAGAGCAAAAUAAGCAGAUGUAGCAAGUUUAAAGGAAUUAGUCAUUUUACAAAUUUCCAUCUAUUAGUAUUAUAAUCUAUCUAUUAGUAUGAUAAUACAUUGUGUGCAUAAAAAUCACACUUAGUUGGUUCCUGUGUCUGAUGCUGACCAGUGUGUUGUGCUUUUAACAAAUAUUUAUAACACCUUGGGCCUUUCCAAAACUGCUCCUCACACCCUCCCCCUACAAACUUCCCCUAUGUUUGCAUGUGCCUGCUGAGUGCCAUGCAAAACCUCUGAAUGUAGAGUGGAAGGUGGUUAUCAGACCCUCCCUCAGCAAGUCAUGGAGAUGUAAAAAAUAUGAAAGUAUAUGUGCACAGAUCGAAUCGGCCCUUUCCACUCAGCACAUUUUUUUAUCAUGAAGAGUUUUCAUGACCAUCAAAUUAAAAAUAAUGCGAUAACUAAAAAAAUGCUACCAGAAAGGAUGAGGAGUUUGCUCUCAAGUUGUGGAGAGAUUUUUCUGAGUAUGCUCAGUAGUUAUUUAUGUGAACCCCUUAUUAUUUGUGUAACAUGUAACCAUGGUUAAAUAAAGUCUUUGCUUCCAUGGGAGUGAGAGAAAUCUGUCUCAAAGCUUGCAGUUGAAUCUGCUACAUCUUUCUAAAUUGAGCUUCAUCAAGCUCUAAAUGCGACUUCAAACACAAUUCACUCAGGCGGAGUGGAAGAAGGUAGGGACCAAUUUGACAGAGGUUCAUCUUCUCUCUUGAAUUGAUGACACCAGAGGUGCUGUGCUUCACUCAUCUCUUGUUACAGUCUUGUUAAAAACACAGAUGGCACCAGAUUACUAAUAAAUAACCUGAGGUUAGCUGAGGGCAAACUGGAGGAUUUAUGGUCGAAUUGCAAAAUAUUGCGACUGUUUUUUUCAAAAUUAUAAGCUAUCUGCAGUGCUUUACUGAGAUAUCUAUUCAACAGUACAAAAAUCUGUCUGCACAACCUUUAACACAGCGUAAAAAGUAAAGUAAAGCUCCCCCUACCAGUGUCUGAAGGCUUAUUUCAACUUAAGUGGAGGCGAGUCAAUGAGAUGUCCAUUCAUUCCCAUGGUAAUGUCUGUAAAACUCCUCUUCUGUGCAUGAUUUCAGUCUGUAAUCUGCCUCAAAGAUGUUCAAAAACUUACAUUUUAAGCAGUAAACCAUCUAAGCUAACAGGCUGCUAAUUUUCUUUAACUCGGUUGCCAGUGUUGGUUGUAUAGUGAGUUGCUAUAAUUAAGAGGAACCUGUUUAUCUGGUGUAAUCACCUUGUUUAUGUGAGUAAUUCUUUCCUGCUGUGACAUGCUUACAUAAAUUGUAUACCUUCACAUUGUCUUUGCCAGUUUGAUAUGAAACACAGUCAGAUUUAUUAGUUAUUCCUCCAUAGCUACCAGUAGUUAUAGGGGAUAGACUUACAGUCAUGCUAUUAAAUAAUAAGUGUCUGGUUUACCAACACCGAUUUAUUGGAGAAAGUAGGAGUUAAGUAAGCUAUACUGAGACUUGAAAAAGUAAAAACCUGAAAAACUAGAGAAAAAAUAAAUGUUGCAGUUUUUGCCAGUGACAUUUUCAUGACUUUGUCCACAAUGCACUGGAAAAAAAAGCAUUAGUUAUGCCCAAAAAGAGUCAUGCUCCAAGGACUGCUUUCGUGUGGACUGCAGCAUUUUGAAAAGGCUUUAAAGAUGGAGACAUGAAAGAUGAGCACAUCUGUUUGAAAACGCAACAUUUGCAUGAGCUUGAGUUAUUUGAAUUUAAAUUCCCCUCAUUUCAUGGCUCUCCACAAACAUGCAACUGUAAAAAUGCUGAAGGUGUCUGUUGUAUUCAAACUAUGGAAGGAUACAGAAUGUCCUAUUAGAGUUGGGCAAGCAGCUACGGUGUAUUUCCAUAUUUGUUAUUGCUUUGGUCCAAAUGACUUGUUUUCCUCUCUGAAGGAGAUCAAUCUGUUUGGUGUUGAUAUUAACUGAAACUAAUGCUGCCUGGUUAUUUUGUUGUUGUGUUUGUUUGGCAGUUCCACCCCUCACCGUAACAUUGCAUCUGAUAGAAGAGGCGAGGGAGCUUACCAGAAAGGAUUCAUGGCCUUUCCAAAAACUGCCCCUGGCCUCUCCACCUUCUGUUUGUGCAAUCACACGGAGGGUCCACUACAUUAAGCAGCUGACUGUGUGAGUAUUUAGUGGAGUAAUUAUUGAAUCUUACUGAUGUUUGUUCAUGAAAAGUGUUUAUUAUUUUGUGACAUAGUUAUACAAAGCUUCCACAGAGGUGAAGGGAGUCCGCCCCAAAGCUUGCAGCUGAAUCUGAUUCUUAUAUGUUGAUGAGGCGAGCUUCACUCAGCUCUGAGUGGGACUUCAAACAGAAAGUCCCUCUGAUCAGAGAAAGGGCCAUAGUCUCAAAAGUUUCACUUUUUUAUUUCGACAAGCUCAUAACAAUCACAGUGCAGAUGUCUUCUGCCUCUCCUUAAGCCUAAAAAGAGCAGAACUUUUUUUUUGUUUUGGUGCUUACCUGCUGAAUUCUGCGACAUAACAUGCAGAUUUAAAAUGUCAAAAAAACAACCUCAAGUGCUCCACAAUUUUAUUCAAAUUAGCCAUGCCCCAUAGAAACAGCUGUCAUGUGAUUAACCAAUGACCGAUUCUUCCCAGAGUGAAGAAUUAUUACCAUUUACACAGCACACAUGACUGUAGUUUACCAAUGAAGACAACAACUUCCAUGAUUUCACACUUUGUAUCAUCCUUAGACUUUGACUUUCAUUUGCAUUUUGAUUGAAAGCCUCUUUGUAGCAGUAUUUGUUUAAAGCAGUGAAAGUCUCUACAUAUAGGAAGACAACUCAGAACCCCUAAAUUUGAUUGAGUCCCAUAUACUGCUGCAUCCUAUAUUCUGGAUUUCUUGUUUGUACCUAAAAAGUCAGAAAGUCAUGUCUACAGUGAGCACCUUGUCUGUAGUAACUCUCCCUCACUCACUCUUUCAGCAGAAGGAGAAUUUAAAAUAUGGAUGAUGACAUCCUGGUAACCUGCUGGAAAAAUCCACAUGGCUCCAGGAAAUGUCAUAAAAUUCACCUUCAGUUCAGUUUCUACACUCUUCAACUGCAUCACUGCCUACUCCUUACAGUUACCUUUCAAAAUGUCAAAAUAAAGAAACC